UUUUUUUUUUUUUUUUUUUUUGGUUCAAUGGGAGACCUUCAGCCUGAAAGCUAAAAAAAAAAAUUGGAAGAACUCAACAAAAAAAAACUUCUUUUUUUGUUCAAUGGAAGACCUUAAACCUGAAAGAAAAAAAAAUAGAAGCGUUUUUGAUCGUCUUUACCAACUAAACCAGAUACUCAAGGGCAUAAGAGGGCUUUAUGUUAAACUUGUUCGGUUUUGUGAAAGUGAGCCCAUCAUAUGUCCACGAGUAGCUUGAGAGUAAAACGACAACCCGUUCUGUUAAAAUUUGGGCCGGCCAAAUAAUUGGCAUCGAUGAAGCCCAAGAUGUUCUCCUGCUAGAAACAUUCGGCAAUCGAGUCAUCUUCAGUAAUGGCAACUUCGCAAUCGCCAUUGAAUUUUCUCUCCCAGACUCCAUUUCCAUACCCUUCUUCAUCUUCUUCACAAUCUCACUUUCUCAUUCCACUAUUAGAAACCUGUUGCUUAAACAGAGCUCUCAAGUUUAAAAUUUGUUGUUCGACUCAUUCUAUUGAAAUUGGCACGCAGCAGCAAAGUAGCCUCACCAGGAAGAAGAGAAAGCCCAGGCCUAGCUUUGUUGAGCAAAUUCAAGAUAAAUGGUCUCGGAAACCCACUAUCUUGAUAGAAAAACUCCCAUGGGAAGAAGAAGAAAAAGAAGAAGCAAAGUUCGAAAAUUUUGAAGAAGAUGAAGAGCGAAAUGUGAGAUUUUCCAAUGGGGUUGUUUCUCAGACAGCAAGUGAAAAGAGCUCUGCAGUUAGUCAGCCAGUGAGUUCUGGUUUACCGGAAAAGGUAAUAUUGCCUCCUUGGGAGCAUGGAAAAAAGCCCAGAAAAAAGUCCCAGUUUGAUAAUCCAGUUAGAAACUCGAGGCGGGCCAGUAAUAGUACUGAAAGCCUCAAUGGCCUUAAUGAUCAUGCUCAAAAUUAUGCUACUAACGUCGUGUAAUUCAAAAUUGUAAUAAUUUUGAGGGAAAAUUUGAUCUUGAUGAGCAAGGUGGAGAAAAGGGUGUCAAGGAUGAUGAAACCCGAAAUGGCUUUAAUGAGCAUUCUGAAAAUUAUGUUACCAGCUUUAGUGUAUUUCAAGAUGUAAAGAAAAUGGAGGAAAAUCUUAAACUUGAUGAGGAAAUUGGAGAAAAUGGUGCCAAGAAGGAUGAUACUUCGAAUGAGCUGUCACAGACAGGUGAGUUUUUGUUUAAUGAGAUAGACAAGGGUGCUGAACAUAGCAAUAAUGGGUUGGGGGCUUUUCAGAAUUAUGUGAAGGAUUCAGGGGAUACUAGUGAAUCAGUGAGGUUGCCGUGGGAGAGUGAGAGUGAUCAACAAUAUCAUGAAGGGAAAAGAUUAAGAAAAAGUAACACUGAGGUGGCAGAGAAAGUAAUACCCGAGCCUGAAUUGAAGAGGCUUAGGAAUUUGGCUUUGAGGAUGGUAGAGAGAAUAAAGGUUGGGGCAGCCGGUGUAACGCAGGCAUUGGUGGACUCUAUUCAUGAGAAGUGGAAGCUGGAUGAGGUGGUGAAGCUGAAAUUCGAAGGUCCUACUGCCAUGAAUAUGAGGUGGACACACCAGAUUCUAGAGGUUAGUUUUUCUUCAGAAUCAGUUAUGAAUGUUAGCUUUUACUGCAAAUACAUGAUGUCAGUCUUCCUUGUAUCAGUAUGCUGGUUGAAGUUAGCUUUACGUUAUCCUAUUCUAUGGUUAUAACAUCCUCAUUUGCAAUAAUUUCAUAAAUUUGCUUUACCAUUACGACUGGUUCGAAUGAAUAUUACUUCAGAUUUGUAUGCAAUCAAGCCUACUGGAUGCUUAUAUAUAGUGUACUAUGCCUUCUGUCAGAGUAGAACUGGAGGUUUGGUUAUUUGGAGAUCAGGCAGUACAGUGGUGUUGUACAGAGGAAUGGGAUACAAAUUAGAUUGUGUACAGUCGUAUGCUAGACAAACUCAAGACAAGACAAAGGAAUUUGAAUCUUCAGGAGUUCAGGUGAAUAAUUUUGCUCGAAGCAUCGGUACCUCAUGCUCUGCUGAACCAUCGACUGCUAAAUCUUAUUCGAACAACCUAUCUGUCAAAGAACUCAAGGAUCGAAGUGAGCUCAACCUACUGCUGGAUGAACUUGGUCCACGGUUCAAAGAUUGGUCAGGGCGUGAACCAGUGCCUGUUGAUGCUGACUUGCUUCCUGAUGUUGUUCCUGGAUAUAGACCCCCAUUUAGGCUUCUACCUCAUGGGAUAAGACAUGGUUUACGUGACAAAGAAAUGACAUUUUUCCGUAGGAGUGCCAGAGUAUUGCCUCCACAUUUUGCCCUAGGUGUGUGCCAACUCAUAUUUGUGCUUUCUCUUUGUUUCAGAUAUUGAGUACUCAUAUAUGGAGUAUGUUUUUACAAAUAUCUAGGAAGAAACAGACAACUGCAAGGUCUGGCAUUGGCAAUGGUAAAGUUGUGGGAAAAGUGUGCUAUUGCAAAGAUAGCCAUCAAACGUGGUGUACAGAAUACUUGCAAUGAAAGAAUGGCAGAAGAACUCAAGGUUGGAUAUCUGAAUCCCUACAUUCAUACACAUAUAUAUAUGAGUUAACGAAUAUUUUCACCUAUGAGUAUGUUGAAGAGUGUGAAUAUUUGCUUGCUCACAUUUUUAAUCUCUAUUCUGAUUCAUUGAAUCUCCAGUCACAUUAAACGCAUGGACAAAUUGUUGAACCUGAAAAUGAGUGAAAGCAUCAUGAACUGUCUGGUAGUUUUUCUUUUAUUGGUAUUUCCAUUUCAGUGUUUAAAUAAUCAGCUUCUGAGCAAGCCUUCUUUUUUGCUUGGUGCUCUUAAAAGAAUUUGUUCCAAUCAUGCUAAUCAUUUGAGAAACACUAGUUUACUUUCUUUUUCUUUUCCUGUGAGGAAUGUGAUGUUGUUGGUUGAUGCACGUCUUUCUUGCUAACAACAUUCUGAUAUGAUUCGCUUAGGUAUUAACUGGAGGUACACUAUUGUCAAGAAACAAGGAAUAUAUCGUAUUUUACAGGGGAAAUGAUUUUUUGCCAUCUGGUGUUACGCAAGCAUUAGUGGAAAAAGAGAGAGAAACUGUUCUCCAACAGGAUGAGGAAGAAAUAGCGCGUCAGAGAGCAUUGGCCCUGAUUGCGUCAAAUGUCAAAGUUGCUGAACGGCCUUUAGUUGCCGGAACCCUUUCUGAGACAAAGGCAGCAACCUUGCGCUGGAACAACCAGGCAACUGGUGAAGAUUUAGAGAAGAUGAUGAGAGAUUCAGCUGUAGCAAAGCAUGCUGCUUUGGUUAAAUCUCUUGAGAACAAGCUAGCUAUUGUAAGUGGCAGUAUAUUAAGAUGAGUCUUUUUUUUUUUUUUUGGAAAAUGCAGGCACUACUUUUAGCCCUUGUGAAUAUUUGGCUCUAUAUAAACUUUCCGCUAUUUGCAGGCAAAAGGGAAGAUAACAAAGGCCGAGAAGGCUGUAUUGAAAGUGCAAGAAAAUUUUGAACCUGCUGAACAACCCACUGACUUGGAAACUAUAAAUGAUGAGGAAAGGUUUUUAUUUCGGAAAAUGGGUCUGAGUAUGAAACCAUAUCUGUUUCUAGGUAACAAUUGCUGUUCCUUGAGCUUUACUUAUUAGGAAAUCUAUCUGCUGUAGCCAUGUAGUGGGACCAUGCGAUCUAAAGUCACCAACGUUUUUCUUUUCAUAUCAGUUCUGUAUUGCUAUUUUGUCCAGUUCUUUUGUUUGUGUAUUAUUAGUCAGUAACAGAUGAAAGCUAGGAAUUAACAUGUUCUGGUUUUUAGGAAGGAGAGGCAUUUUUGAUGGUACCAUUGAAAAUAUGCACCUGCACUGGAAGUACAGAGAGCUGGUGAAGAUUUUUGUGGAACGAAAAAGUUUCCCACAAGUCAAACAUAUUGCAAUUUCUCUUGAGGCAGAGAGUGGUGGUAUUUUAGUAUCAGUUGACAAAACUGCCAAAGGAUAUCUCAUUAUUGUUUAUCGUGGAAAAAAUUAUCUCCCUCCUAGUGCAUUUAGGCCUAAAAAUCUUCUGACAAGAAGGCAAGCAUUGGCUCGUUCUAUUGAGCUUCAGAGACGUGAGGUAAUCAUGACUAGUGAUUUUUACAAACCCCUUUUUUUCCUUCCUUCAAUGUCCAGAUUUACAAUAUUGUUUGUUGAGAUGAUCAUUAAUCAUGUAUCCUCAUUGAAACAUAUCCAGGCUUUAAAGCAUCAUGUUGCAGAGUUGCAAGAAAAAAUUGAGAAGCUGAAAUCUGAGCUUGUAUGUUUUCUGGCUAAAUGACAUUCUGUAUGAUAUGCAUAAGAAUCAGGAGAAGCUAAAGGUUAACUUGUUUCUUGCUGCACAGGAAGAUAUGAAGAAUGUCAAGGAGAUCGAUGAGGAGACCUUGUACUCAAGGGUGGAUGAUGCAUCCGAUGAUGAUGAAUUGCAAGAAGUAAGCAAUAAUUUAAGCUUUGAAUGCAUUUGACUGAUUUUUUCUGGUUGUUGUAGAAUUUAUGGCAGUGGAGGAUGUAGACAUGAAGAUCUUUUAAAUUAUGUUUACCUUUCAAAUCAUUGGUACUACUUUGCCUAGUUUUCUUAUAUCUGAAGCAAUAUUCAGUCACAGAAAGGAUUGCAUAAUUGUAAUCUUGUAAUUUUGACACUAUUGAUGGUCCAUUCUCUUGGUUUCUAACGUCUUUUCUCCAAUAGACUUGACUGGAAAUCUUGGAUAUUUCCUUUAGUAGGCUUUGGAUGAACAUGUUCUCUAUCUGCUUAAUGUUUAUACUUCGUAACAAUAACAAAUAUAUGCUAGUUCGGAUAUUUUAUUUUUUGUGAAUGGCUGUGACGACCAUUUGCCAAGUGGCUUAAUCAUGAUUGGCGGCAUCUGUCUCGUUUAUGUAGGAUGAAGAUGAAGAUGCAUAUCUUGAGACGUAUAACUGCAGCGGUGAUGUUGGAACUUCUUGACGAGGGUUUGAGAAGGAAAAACUAGAACACAGAACUGCUCCGUGGUGAAAAAAAAGCUCGAUUUUUCAAAUUAACACUUGGAAGGGGUCCGAACUGAAAAGCUCCAAAGGUUUGGUUAACGGGAUUUGAGAUUUGGAUGGACAGUGAUCUCCAGGGUUGCUGCAUGUGGGUGUGUGACCAUUACAAACGUACUUGAUUCAAGUCCCACACCAUUCUUAGGAUGAAAAAUCUUGUGACAAUGAAUAGUUGUGCAUGUGAGCCUGUAGAAUUUUAAGCUCAAGAAUCUCAUGAAUCUAUAAUCUUUCGAUCAAUAAAGCUGUUGAAGUGAAUACUAAUGUAGCUAGUUUACAUGUAUGUAAUAUCCAACACAGUUCCUAAAAGAAACAUAUCAGCUGCAAUCACUUUAGCUUUCUGCAAAUUAGUGCACCUCAUCAGAGUGUAUUAAGAGUCAGUGGUUAAGAAUGUGCAAAUUAAUGGAAGAUAGCUUUUUGUGUUAUUGGGGAGGGGAAUGGAGGUGAAAGCAAAUUGGAGAUCGAUUUGCUUAAUUUCAAUCAGUGUGCUUGAAGGGGCAUUCAUGUGAGCUAAGAAAUCCUUGAGACAAUAUGCUGAAGCUUAUGUACCGCUGAGAGUGUGGUUUGGCAAGUUCAGACAGGAAUGCGUAACUCGAGUUGGUUUGGCCAAGUUCCGAAAAAAAAAAAGAGGAAGAAGAAGAAGAAGAUUAGGUUCAAAACAUCACCAUCUUGUGGCCAUGCUGCAGGAGGCUUUUUCAGGGCGUAUAGCAUGAUUUAUGUUCACGUACUUGCCAAUGGAAGGAAAAAGGAAACCAAGCAGCCGGGAAGAAGAUUCACAAAAUCACACGACCAAGCUCCACAAGUCGAGCAAUUUAAGACAUCAAAAGCUGUUUCUUUCCCAAGCCAAAAGGCAAAAAAAUAUAAAGGCAGAACACUUUCUCGAGCAGCCUUCACAGCUUCAUACUCUUUCUCGAGCACUAUUGAAGAAUUGCUCCACAAGAGGUCAAGAAUGCUUGAAAACUGUAAGCUUUGUAACGUAAAGCUAAUACACAAGCAAUUUUCAUGGCUGAUUAGGCCAAAUAAGUCUAAAAUACCGACUAUUCAGCUUCUUGGAACCGUUGGUGUAAAUUUGAAAGGCCGACUAACUCAGCUAAGGCUGCUUACUGGCCUCCUGCAGGGCCUUCUUUAAUGAAAGGCAGAACAACAGAAGUUAAUUCAGCUUGAUGUGAAGUAUAACUGUGGUCAGCACCUUCAAUAAUGUGCAACUUGUGAUUUGGUAUGAUCUUUGCAAAAUCCAAGGCAUCUUCCACAGGUAUAAUUUCAUCGGCAGACCCAUGCACCGUUAAUACCCUGUACAAACGCAUAUAUUGAGUGGGUGAGCAGAUAAGAGUUACUCAUUAAUAGGAGAUUAAAAUCUAUGCAUCUGCCUCAACUACAUUAUCAAUACAUGUUAACAAAAAUCCUAUGUUAUAUAUAUGUAAUUACAUAUUUAACCACCGAUGUAUCUCAGUUUCGGGUAUUUCAUGCUGUUCCCAAAUUACGUAGGAUUCUUUCUCGCACUAGAAAACAAAAUCACUUUACCCGCAGAAGCUUCAUGAAAAUCUUCAAUUUUGUCGAACACCAUUUCUGUGUUUUUGGUUCAUGUGAUUGAGGCGGUAAUGGGAUAACUUAUGAAGGCUCAAAACAGGCAGGUCUAAAGCAAGCUAGUAAACAACGGGGUCUAAAUAAGCUACUCUAACCUGCAUUCUUUGUCAAUUACAAGGCACGCCUCAUGCAUGUUUGUGUUCAGUCGAUCCAUCAUGCUUUCCACCGUGACACGGUAUUGAACAUCACCUGCAUAAUGAAGAACUUCAUUAGCUCCACUAUGAGCAGGAGUAGAAAACCAUACAACAUGUAUUACUAAAGAGAAUAAUGCUUUCAAAGCACUUGUAAAGCAUCAGAAAGGAAAGAUGAAUUUGCAAACGGGGAAUUCAUUUGAUAAACCGGAACUUUUUACUCCAUGUAAAAAUUGAAUACUCGUGUAAAACAAGUAAAGCACAGAAAAAUGCAACAUGGGGUCCUAAGCAGUAGGUCCUGCUCAUAUUCUUUUUCCCUGAAUUUAGAGCCAUAAAUAAUCAGGUUGUGAACAGUCAGAUGCUAGAUAAUCAUUACAAUGCGUUAUUAAAAUUACCAGCUCCACUUUUGACAUCAAUAUGGCCAUCUUUCUUGAUUCUUUCCAAAAAGUCUUUUCCCAGUCGCUCCUCAAUGCCCCUAUCCAGUUUGUAACGGCCAGACACAUUGAUCACAUUGCAAAUAUCAUGAUAUUUAGAUGCAUAUAGCAGCACAAUAUUGCCACCUGCAAUUUAAAGCACCAAAAGUUGUAUCAUCUAGUCAAAACCAAUUUAAAAAAUUAAGCAUAAAUAUACAUGCACAGAGUUCUUAUGAUUUACAACUUAUGUGCACGCAUUAAUUUCUAUCAAAUAUGUUUCACACUAUUUCAAAAAGUUUGCACACCUUUACUGUGCCCAAGAAUUGCAGUAAUCCUACGGUUGGCUGCAAUGAAGUACUCAACCACAGAUCGCAAGUCCUCAACCUCUCUCCAGUAGUUGCCAUACUGAAAUAAGCCUUCACUUUCUCUGGAAAUGAAUAAUUGUGAUGAGAGGUUAGUAGAAUCUAUCCAUACAAUUGCCAGAAAUAAAACUUUAACUAAAUCUCAGGGUCCCUGAGGAAGAGGAGAUCUAGCCAAAAUAAAGCAAGUGCUAAACAGUACCCUUUUCAUUGCAUCAAACUGUCAGAAGCAUAAAGAAUUUCAGGCAAAAUUAACAUCUUGGAGCAGUAUAAAUUCCUAAAUUAGAUUGCACUGACCAAUUAAGUAUAGAGCUAAUUAGCCAAACUCUUUAUAAUGGCCCAAUUAAAUAAGCUCUUUACAAAUAAUUAUGUAAUUAAACCAAUUAAUCACUAAUGUACAAGGGUUGGUUACAACCCAUAAGAACCCUAAAGCCAUACUUUUUCAAUUUAAGGUAAGUAAGAAAUCAAUGCUGGAGUGAAGGGAGCACAUUACAAGUAGCUCAUUAACCUGGGAAAUCAUGGCAUUGAAAAGCACAGUAUUAACCAAUUAAAAGGUAGUAUCCAUUUGUUAGCUAGUGAUGAAAUUCCAGUAUAACAAAUGUGGCUGUUAUUUGGACACAAAUUCAUCACGCAAUGCUAAAGGAUAAUAUUCGAAAACCUGUAGAACAGUGAUUAAAUGAACCACAGUGCUAAAGCUUACCCAUUUCCAGCAAAGUCAAAUCGAAAUGCGCUAAUUCCUUCUUUCUCUAGAGCAGCAGAAAAAUUCAUCAUAGUCUCGUUCAUCUGACAACACAAAUGAAGAUUAAAAGUUAUCAAUCUACAACUCAGUAUAUUACACACAUAUGUUGGUUGUUGUGCCAUAUCACAAAAAAGAUAUUUUAGUCAAGUACUUGGUCUAAAUUGCAAAAAGAAACAACAACAACAACAAUAACAAUAUUAAUAAUAAUACUAAUAAAGGAAGAAGAAGAAAAGAUGAAGGUAGUACACAAUCUUAAUUAUAUCCAUUAAGACUCCCAAAUAAACCAAGAUGAGCUUAUUAUCACUGUUUUCAGACACUCAGGAUCUCUAAUAAACAAUUUACUGCUUGAGUCUUACAUCAUCGCUUAUCUUUUUUUGAAGAAGCGUCCUUGCACUUUCUUCUAAACUAUAGACGAACUUCAUUCACUUGCCUAAACUAUACUACAAAACCACGUGAGCUUUAUUAAGCCUUUUCAACCAAAGGAAGUCAAGUAAAUCAGUAUUAACAGCAAAAGAUUGGGGUUACAAAUGCCAGAUUAGUUCUGUGUGCCACAAAUAAACAAGUGCCCACCUAGCUUUCCGUCAAUACAGAAAUAAAGAAGGGGAUGCAAUUCAGUAAUAUUCCAGCUACCAUUAGAUCUAAAGAAAAAGAAAAAAUAAAGACAUUUGGUUUUGGAAAAUUCAAAGAUUGAACAAAGUUGUAACUGGAAGACGGAAGACAGUAAAAGUAGGUAUCAUGAGCAGAAUAGAAGAGCUUCCAACCUUUGAGGAUCGAAAUCCAUGACAUAAGACUACAACAUCUGCAGAUCCAGCAUCAUGGAAGACGCCCACAAGCUUUUCACCAUGUUUGUUCUGUAAAGUGACUUUCUGCUGCCUAGUUACUGCAACAUUAUAAGUAUGGAUCAAUUCUUAUACAUGUAUUACCAUGCCAAUGUAGAUAUAUCUUCAUAUUAAUAGCCUAGAUCUCCACAAGAUAUGUUGCCGUGCAAUUUGACAACACCUGCUUUCAUGGCUAAAUCCAGUCAAAACUCAAAACAGAACAAGAGUUGAAUUUCCAGAGUCUGCCCAUAUAAACUGCUUAAACAGACUCAAUGAAGUGCCACACAGCAUUCCUCCAACUAAAGAAGUUAACAGCACGAAUAAAACUCUCUAAACAUAGAGCGGCGUGAAAGGAACAGUUUAACACAGCGAAUUAUUUAAGCUGAUUUUAACUGUCUAUUAUUCCUAGCUUAUUGGUUCAAUAUCUUGCAUAACCACUCUGCGUACUAGUAGUUUCCAUGAUAAAGCUUCAGCCAGAAGUUAUAUUGAUCCUCACAUCCAUAAACCAUAUUGCCUAGUAUAAUAGAAAAGCGGACUCGUAUACUUUAUUACUAAAUAUGAACAAGUAUCUCUAUGCUGAAUUAUACUUCCUUAAACAGCGAACCAAAUCUUGGCGGUUUAAAAAUUUGUCUUUUCAUUCCUUCCCAAAAGCCAUAGUACCACUCGUCUCUUUCCCCUCAUCCUCUCUCCCGGGAAAUGCAGAAUUAGCUUAACCCUGUUUAAUUUUUAAAUCCAUCAGUCAGUGUAAUGCCCAUAGUUUCAAUUUGGUGUACAAAGUCAUGCAUUACAUGCAAAUGAAUCAUCAGAAAGUCAGCACACAAAAAUAAAGCAGAAACCGGCAGACCGCAUAGCCCACUGGCAGAAAAAGAAGGAGCAGCUUCAAGAUGGAGACUUUUUGUGAAUGUAUAAAGAAAAACCCGGAACAAGAGAUUUUCAAGGAUUCUCUUACCUGGGUUUUCUGACAUGCUGAUUGAUGUUUUAGCUCUGAAGCUCUGAUCGGGUGAAGGAAUGAAUCGGACCUGAUUAUUGGAAAGUUUUGAUAGAUGAGAUUUUCUGGAAAAGAAAGAACAUGGGAGGACCAGAUUGAAAUCACAGACCCUGGCUAUUCCCAUGUGUCUCUGACCAAUUGGUAAGAGUAAUGAAUCCCCGUUAAAAUGAAAUUAAGAAGAAUUUUACUAUCCAAGAAAAAAUGAAAUUAAAAAAGAAAUGAGAAAAAGAGAAGUACUAGUAGGGACUCAUCUGCCUGCUCUGUGAUUUUAGCCGUCAAUUCCUGCUUUGCUUGAUCGGAUUCUCACGACUGCAGUGGCUAUCUUUCUUGUUUCUUGUUUACCAGCUCCUCGAGGAUUGAUUUGAGAGCUAUUUUGACUGGUGGACGGAUUUUAUUCAGUGGCCCAUUCUUUACAGUCAUUAGCAAUAGAGAAUCCUAUUCUUCUCAAUCUGGAGCCAUGUUGACGCAGGCCCAAAAUAUAUAUAUAUAUAUAGUGCAAAUCAUCAUCACAUGCCGAUGCCCUUAGCAAUCAUUGUGCAUAAUUAAUUAUUUGCCGCUAUACAAGGAUAGUAUUAAUUAUUUCCUAACGGAUGACUGGUGAACUGAUGAUUAGUAGUGUUACUGACCUAGCCAGCCACUAUAAUACACUCCAAUUCGAAUGUUGAAGUCCUCUAACAAAAUCUUGGCGAUCAACCUACGGACAUUGUUUUGGGCCCCCAGUCUGCAUGUUAGCGACGUUGCCCCUGGCGACUAAUUUCAGGAGUGAUGGAACAAAGACUCGUCCAUGUUUCCGGUUGCACCCUGUAAUUUCUGGAGUGAUCCAUGCUGCAUAUAUCCUAUCCUAUAGUUUGGUUGAUUUUCAUCCAAGGGGAAAGUAUCCAUUGCUAUAACAAGUCUUUGGGGGAAUUGUAAUUAAGCCAUCUUACAAAUUACAGCAAGAAAUUACGUUCACAUGUCAAAGCAGGUAGACCCACCAUGUCCAUGCUUGGGCCAGAACUCAGCAGCUUAUACAAGAGCAACAAAUGCCAUAUUGCAAGGACCAAAACUUAGAAGUUUGCCUACGAGUAACUAUAGCCAUUCGUGAGAAUAUAUGUAUGCUUGAAGUGAUUGGUCAUUAGCAGGGGUCUGGACUCUCAACUUGGCAAGGGUGCUUGAAGCUUCUUACCACCCUGCUGAUAAUUGUGGGAUAGGGGAAAAUACUUUGAAGUUAGGUACUACGCUAUCCUAAAAUGUAGAAGGGUGCGAAUCAGAACUAGUGUGGGAACUUAUCCUACUCUUAAUUGUGCCAUACAAUUUAGAGGGUAUAAGCAGCAAUACAUCUUUGGAGUCUUUAGUGUAGAAACCUGAAUGCAAAUGUACAAUAUUUUGCGCAAGAACUAAAGAGUAAUUUGACGGUUCUACUCCUCGUAUACACCAAAACGAAAAUUGGGAUAAAUGCUGAACAAAAAGGACACUUUGUUGAUUUUUUCUGGUAGAAGAAUCGGAAGGGAGAAGCUGGAAGCAAAGAUAAGGGACGUGAAGGUAAUGAAAACCCAAUCCCAGUUAAAAAGAGGAGAUAAAAAAUCCUUGCAAAUCCUUGCUCCUGCAUAGUCAAGGGACACCUAAGUGACUAGAAGACCAUAAUGUGACGUCGUAUCUCAUCCUAUGUACGUUGUCAACUUGAGACUGAAGGUGCUUUUUCCCCAGUAACAGCAUCAAAAAAUCAAGUUUAACAGCAGCAUUCGCUGAGAUAACUUUUCAUUGUGCCACAGGUAUACAAAGACAUCAAAUGCAUGACGCCAUAACAAUAUAGAAGAAUAUGUCGUUCAAAAGUGACAUUUCCAGCUUUAUAUGAGAUAAACCACAGCACUUAUGCAACAAGGCGGCAGCACGGGUGAAUAACCCUCUGUUGGGGUCAUUAAAGGGCUUUCAAAGGUAAAAUGUGGACUCUUCAAAAGGCAAAAAGAAUUUCCCAAAUUUACAACAAUUAGGCCUACAAGAGAGGAACAAGAGUGACUGUCUAUGAUACAAUUCAAGCACAAGGAAAAAACCCAAUUCCAAUCACUUCGCCAGAAGUGGCUUGUAAUAUCUGAAACGUGGUUAUACAGCAAAGACAAAUCAAGCCCUCCUUUUACUGAGGCGCCAAGAGUUAGGCUCAUGAUAUCUGUCAUAAAGUGGUUCAAUCCGUUCUUGUCUCUUGCGCUUGCUCAUCUUUGUGGAUCUGACACCUUGAAAAAUCUCGGUGCCAGUUCAACAAGCCACUUUGGAUCUAUGACUGUUACCUCACGCAUAUACUCUUUUGUGGUCAUCACCAGCUCAUGGUAGAUAACCCAAUCAGGUUGUCUUUGAAAAAGGGCACUGCUUGGAUGAAUAUAAACUGGUUGGUUCUCCACCAGGGUCCUAUAACCCUCUUGUGGAUCCUUCCUGGCAGCAUGGAAGAAGAAGCCUGCUGUAAUAGCCUUCCUAAUCUUGGUGAAAUUCUUUCCAGCACCCAAGACAUCCAAUUAUACCUGUACAAGAACAAAAUUAAUUUAGUAACACCAUCCAAGGUUCUAAGUUACAGAGGAAACACGUAAAGAAACUGAGAAUAACUGCAUUACAGAAACAUGUACACUAGGAAUGGUUAAGCAUACAAGCAUGUCACAGAAAUGUAACUACCAAAGUAACUGCUUGUUCACAAAAGAUAUGCAGUAGUAUUUCUUCAUCCGCAUAAAAGGCAGAUUGUUAACCAAGUUACUAAACCACGAGAUACAUAAAUUUAACAAGGUUCCUUUACUAUCAGGUUAAACUUGCCAAGGAGCAAAGAGAACACAGAUCAAACAAAUUAAAAAACAAAACAGUACCAUAUCUAUAGCCUCAGUUAAGAAAACUUUCAAAGAUUAUAAUGUGAACAGUCAUAAACUUGAGCAGAUUCCUAAUCACCAACAGUGCACCAGUUUAAAGGAUGGAAAUACAUACUUGUCAUGAUGGAGAGAAGUUGCUUCCUAACAUCCUGAGCUCUCCUCAAAGAUCGGGACUGAACAAAGUUUUCAAAGCACCAUGGACCAGAAAAGUUUUUUGCUUUCCAAGCCUCAUAAACCGCAAGUAACGUCAAAUGAUCUCCUCCGGCUGGAAAAAUUUAGCCCUUUUCUGAUCCGCUUGAGCUGUUUUUCCCUUGGAACGAAUAGAAGAUAUUUCCGGUUUGAAUCAUGCAAUUAUUGUUAAAAUCUCAUCACUGCAACCAAGAUCGACACUAGCUAGAAGCAUCUUAGAUAAAGGGGAUCAAGAGGAAAUUCGGCCAUUUUCCUGCCCAAUUUAGUAAGAAGUCCUCUUCAUCCAAAGCUCCAAGACUGUAAAGUUGUUCCAUGGCAGAUAUGAGGGCUUGAGGAGAAGGAGGGUCCAUAAAAUCGAAAGACAGAAGAUCAUUAAUGCCCAUAGCUUUCAUAUUAAGAGUAGUUGUCCCAAGAUUAAUCCUCUGAAUUUCUGGAAUUGUGGUGGGUGGCAUUUCAUUGUGGAAUGCACUCUCUGUGUACAGACGAUAACACUUUCCGGGUCCUGUACGUCCAGCACGUCCUGCUCUCUGUUUUGCUGAGGCUUGGGAAAUUGGAGUUAUCACCAACGAAUCCAAUCCUUGUUUAGGAUUGUAAACAUUCUGCUUGGCAAAUCCAGGAUCGAUGACAUAGAAUAUACCAUCAAUUGUCAACGAAGCUUCAGCAAUGUUGGUUGCGACAACAACUUUUCUCUUUCCUAGAGGGGCUGGUUCAAAAAUUCUUGAUUGCAUUUCACUUGGAAGGGCACUGUAUACUGGUAAGAUGAUUAACUCGGGAACAUUUUUACCCAGCCCUUUCAUUCUCUCAUAGAGACAUUGACAUGCAUAAUCGAUUUCUUCCUGACCAGUUAAGAAGAGUAAAACAUCACCUUCAGGCUCGGUCAAAUGGAUUUGCAAGACUGUAAUUAGAGAAGCAUCAAGGUAGUCACUUUCUGGCUGCUUAGUGUAUAGUAUUUCAACUGAAAAGUUCUUCCGGGAAUGGUGAAGAUGUUACAGUUGAAGAAAUAACCCGAGAAUUUCUCAGCAUCCAGUGUGGCAGACGUGACAAUCAACGAAGGUCGGGUCUCCGUUUCACAAGUUGCUUAAGCAGCCCAAAAAGCACAUCAGUAUGAAUUGUCCUCUCAUGAGCUUCAUCCAGCAUGAUCACAGAAUAUUGAGACAAAUUCUCAUCAACCAGAAUCUCCCUCAGCAACAUGCCAUCAGUCAUAUACUUGAUGACAGUGUCAGGUCCAGUGCAAUCCUCAAAACGGAUAGCAUACCCCACCUCUUCACCCAAACGGCAACCGAACUCCUCAGCGACCCUCUUAGCCACAGACAUGCAGCCACCCUCCGAGGCUGAGUGCAUCCAAUUUUACCUUGGUAGUAUAUCCAGCCUCAGCUAAAUACUGGGUAACCUGAGUCGUUUUGCCUGAACCUGUCUCACCAAUCACAACCAAACCUGAUUAUCAUGGACAGCCUGUAUUAACUCUUUCUUUAGCUUAUAAAUGGGCAGGCUCUGCCUUUGCUCCUGAAUAGAAAGCUUGGAUCUUUGCCCAAAAGUAAGAGCUUUUCCAUAGGCAUCCUUUUUCCAUUCUGGCAUGUCAUAUGCUGACAAUCAACACCCUCAACUCUUGUGCCAAAUGCCUCUCGCCUGUCUCAGGCAUUGGGUCUUCCAUGGUCGAUUCAAAUCUUUUGGAAUUGAAUCCAGCAUUGUCCUCUGCUGCUGCUCCUUACUUCUCUUCUCUCUUUUAUUAAAGCAGACUGAAGUGCAGGCAGCACGACUCAAUGAGCCCUCGGGAUUCUUAAAGAUCUUAACAGGAGACAUGUCUAUGGAGUAGCGACUCUGGCCUUGCAAGAAAGCUGGCUCAUCUUCAUUCAGCUCAAUUUCUAGCUCCUCCUCGCACCUUCCUCCUGAUACAUCAAACCAUCUCCUUCAUCAUCAUACAUGGGAUAUUCUUUAACACCCAAAACCGGAAGCGAUGAGUUGUUUGCCUCCCAUCUCUCAGGUGAACUCAUUCUCUUCAACGGCCUCCUUGAAGGCAUAGAAUCAUCUUCUUCAUUGAUUUUAAUCCCUGAAAGCCCUGUUUUAGUCACAGGACCCCAUUACUAUUUGGAUUUGCUCUCAAACCAUCAUCUUCACCACUCUUCUUCAAUGGCAACAAAUCCUUGCCAGAAUUUUGAUCAACUCCCUCAUUGACAAACUCAACUUCUGCCCAUUCAUGAAAUCACCUUCACAUAAACUUCCUGAUCCUCUUUACAACAUCCUUGGCAUUAGUUAUCCUCCUAGUUGCCAUCUGAGAAACGUGGACCAAUCCCUCUUCCUCUAAACUCAUUCAGCUGAACGAAACAACCUGAUUCCAUCACCCUCGACACCCUCCCCUUAUACACACUGAUAUAAUUCUGGCUCACCUCCAUAUGCCUGCCAUUGUUCCUCUCCCUUCUUUCAUUGUUAUCAAUAUCUUCACGGUCAUAGCCAUCUCUCCCGCUCCUCUCAUGUCGACUCUGCAUGUGCUUUUCCUAGUUUCAUCAUUAUCGUAGCCAUCAUCCCUUUCUCUCUUCCUAUCCCUAUCCCUGUCCCUACCUCUAUCUCGGUCGCUAUCUCUAUCCGCUCUAUCUCUAUCUCUAUCUCUAUCUCUGUCUCUGUUUCCAUCCCUUUCUCUUUCCCUCCUCCUGCCCCUAUCUCUGUCCCGGUCCCUUUCUCGUCUAUCCCUGUAUCUAUCUUCUUCUUUCUCUUCUUCCUCUCGCUGCUUACUCCUAGCUUCCAACUGAAUCUCCCGCUCCAAUUCCUUCACUUUCUCUCUACUAUCUGCAAUCUUCAAAGCUGAAUACCCUGAUUUCUUUCCUCAACCUUAGGUUCCUUCUCGGACUUAGGUUUGGGAGGCAAAAUAGCAUGAAUAAUGGUCAGCAGAGUCCGGACAAAAUAAUCGGGCAUUCUCAGCACCAUUCUCUUUAAGCUUAGCAUCAAACUCAUCCACAUUCUCACAAUUUCUACCAAUUUCAGUAAUAAAUUCAGCUAAAACCUUCUCCCCAACACCUAAAUGAAGUCUCGAGUUCUGAACAUACCUUAGAGACGAGCGAGAGAUACUCUAAUUCCUUCAGCCCAGGGCCGUCCCCCAUCUCCACGACGUAUGAACAGCCUCAAUCAAUCAAGUCUUCCAGAAAACCAGCAACCGGCAAGCCGAUGAGAAACAAAACCCUAGCCAAUCAACUGGAGUUCGCAACCUAUCUUAAUCAGGAGUCCCAAUAAGGAACAAAACUUAAUUUAAUCUCUACAAAGAGUAUUUAUAGGCCGCCGGAGGAACGGUUCCCCCAAAAAAAAAAAAACAAAAAAAAAAAAAAAGAGAGAGAGAGAAAAGGUUGGGAUGGCGCGGUUUAAGAUUCGUGAUUUGUCCUCGUCGGAAUUUGGGGUCUUGACUAAUGCGCGGUUUCCGUUGUUUGCGUCGGUGGUGGUGUUUAUUUAUGAAUCCAAUACGGCAACGUUUUGGCCGCGUAGAAUUUAGAAAAAAGUUUACUGUCAAUUGAUGCCCUAAAUUAUCAAUAUGCUUGUAUUUAGUUAUCUGUAGCAAAUUGCUCAAAUCGAUUACAAGCCCAUGCAUUUUUAUAUGCCCUAAAAACUAAAAGGCCUUUAGUACCCCUAAAUGAAAAAAUAAUUCUUGAUGCAAAUUUGUUGCACUAAACUAAAAUCUUUUCCUAAAACAACACAAUUAAAUGUUAGUAAAGUCACUCAAAAAAUACAACAUCAAAUAAUGAAAAUUAGAGGUUUAAAAUACUUAUCAUAUUCUAAUUUUUUUUUUAAGAUGUAAUAUUUUCUUCAAAUAAUGAGGCCCAAAUUCUUUUUAACACAGAAAUGAGCUUCUAGCCUUCCCCAAUGUUUGAUGCAUUUGGAUCAGCCGUAGUUACCAUAUGGUUUUGAACUGAAAAAAUUCAUACCCUUUCUCAAUUGGCAUAUUCCAAUUUGUUUGCAUCAAUUUCGUUUUGUCAGUUCUUCAGGCCCAUCAUCUUUCUUACGAGUUUGGAUUUAAACUUUUCAAACUCAAAGCCCGCUGUACAUAGCGUUAUAGGUCUCGUAGGAUAAGAUCUAUAUCAAGGCCCAAAAUCAAACCCAGGUCCAUUUACUGUGUAUGAUCGUAUGUUUCGAUUUGAAAUAAAACUUAUCCAUAUAUAUAUAUUUAACCUGAAUCCUGAAUUUGAUAGCGAAAACUUCUGACAGAUUAGUAAUCUAAUAAAUCAAGAGUAAGCACAUCCUAUCAUUUUCUGAUAUUAUUUUUCUUGAAAAUUGCUUCUCAAGUACUCAUAGUAGAAGAUGAAGUCAGAAUCGAAGCUGUUCCUUGUACUGACUAAUUGUUUGUCAUUAAUUAGUUGGACCCUUCGAUGGAUGCAACGAGACGAACUGAAAGAGAAUCUGAAUCCCAUCCCAUCUCAUUAAUUUUUAGAGGAAAAUGCAUGCCGGGUAUAGUUGACCGUCGGUUUCUUAUUUCAAGAGUAGAAACAGGUAGUAGAAUUCUUCCCUCAUCACUAAUACGUUGAAAUUUGGUUGCAAAAGGUUGUAGCAAUACAUGAAAAGUCCCCCCCCCCCUCCCCUCUCUUGUUUGUUGUUGGCAGCGACUUUGCUACGUGAAAAAGUCUCGUAGAAAGAAGUCAAGAACAGAGAUUUUUAUCUUAUUUUAGGAAGUAUUUCAGGACAAGAUUAAUUGAGGGGAAAACAAGUGACUGGAAUUAAAAGAUUUAUCUUCGUUUCGUUCCCUAACUUCAACUUGAUAGUUACAUAGACUCAAAAUAUUGAUCCAAAGAUAGAGAUCCACGAAAUAGAAUUCCAAAAAGUUUCACAGCGAGUAAAAACUUGUGUAUGACAUUUUGAUUGUUUCAGGGAAAAAGUGAAAACCCUGUGGAACGUAAGAAGCAUCAAGCUAAAUCAUAAAAAAGAAACAAGUUUUAGGAAUAACAUCUACAACGAGACAAAAUUUUACAAUACCUAAGAAAAGGUAAUUACAUUCUGAAUUGCUACUUUUUUAUAUUUUCCUUGUAAGAUUUGAGACUGCCAACCAAUAACUGUGGAACGUACGAAGCAAGAUGAAAUGCGUAAUGUUUGGCUUUAGAACUAGAUCUUGUAACAAAACUAUAAUUACAUCAACGGUUCUGACUAGUUGGUUACCAACGCAAUAAAAACUAGAGAAUAGUAAUACUAAAAUCAGCAGCAAAUGGAGCCAUAAAUUCCCAAAAGAUAAACCAAGCAAGCAAAAUUUUACUUUUGUCAGUUGUGACAAUUUUCUUCUCUCUCUCUCUCUCUCUCUCUAAAAGCUUCUUAGAAGUUUAGGUUAACCAUUUGGCAAUCUUUAAUAUGGUUAUAUUGAAAGUAAAAAAUUAUAUUGUUUUCAUAUAUUCGAAUUCAGAAAAAAAAAAACAUAGAGUUCCAUAUGAAGCAUAGUUAUAAAAAUCGGCCCACCGGUGGUUUAGACGGUCAAUCUUGUGAACCAGCAAUCGAGUCGAGUUGGGUCAAAAGUUAGACUAAAUAGAGAUUAAAUCCAUUGACUAGCCAAUAACUCGAUGGCUCAACUGAUAAAAUUAAAAAAAAAAUCGCAUAUUGAACAACAAAUUCAAAACUUAUAUUAUUGCUAUAAUUCAAAACAUAUUACCAUAUUAUAUUAUACAAUUACUAGUUGAAUUGGUCAACUCAGGGUUGGACGGAUAACCCGUUGAAUCAAUCAUCUCUUCGAAUUGAGGUUCAGGUCGGAUUUUAUAACUAUGACGUGAAGUGUGCAUGAAAACCUCUUUAGAUUGAGAUUAAAUUAUCAUCUUCCCAAAAAGACUAAGCAAAUGCAAAUAAAAAAGUAAAUUCUGAACAUUUAGGCAUAGCAAUAAGACUUCAUCACCCUAAACAAGUCCGUGCUAGUUUAGGCCUCUCAAUUUAUGAAAUUUCCUAUAACGAACACCUAAAAUCACAAACUCUUCCUUGUUAGUCAAGCAAAACAUUAAAUUUAGUUCAUUUUCCAUUGAGAAAUGUCUAUAGGCUUAAGAUAUGUCCACAAAUGGAAAGUCAAUCUUUUCCUAGAAUAUUCAUACUUGAUCUUGUAGCCACACAAGUUGUGGUCCUUGCUAUAUAGGCUACGGAUGAGCUACAGCAUGCUGACUAAUAUCUUGGCACAGCUUCAAACAUCCGAUGAUGUACAAUGAUGGGCCAUAAUCCGAAGCACGAGUUUGACAAGACUUUUAUCUAUUUGCUAGACACUGUGUAUAAUGUGAUCCCCUAUUUAUGUAUGUGUGUAGUCCUGAUAAUGUAAUCAGGCGGGUCUGUAUACGUUACCUAGGUCCAAGAAACGUGGACAUUGGUGAACGUUCAUUCUAGAGAACUUCAAAAUAUGAACGGGAGCCCGCGGCAUAAUAUCUAAUAAACGAAACUCUGCAUAAUACCCGCAUCUGAAUUCAAAUCUCAAACCAAGAAAAUGAUGCUCACUUUGUUUUUUUUUUUUUUUUUUAAUGAAUAUAGCUGGUGUCUGCUAAACUUGUAGAUUUUUUCUUACGAGGGCUGUCAAGCUUCUAAAAUAAGAAUCCAAUUUACUGGAGAAUAAAAAAUGUAAGGGUAAAAAUAAGGCUGCCAUGAAGGAAGGGUACAAUACAACCUUCCUAGAAAAUGUAGAAGAACAUUAAAACAAAAUAGAGUCAAUUGCAGUUUUGGUAUCCAAAAUUUGACCUAGAGCGAUUCUAGUACCCAAAUAUUAAAUAAAAACAAAUUUAGUAACCAUUGUUAUAAUAUUUAACACAUUUGGACACUUGAUAGAUUUUUUCAAAUUCCUUCUAGAAAAGUUGUGUGAUGUCAUGUACUCGGCAACGAAAUUGUAAGAAAUUUCAUGUUUAUCCCUAAUUGAUGGCUCUUCAAAUUGUUGCUUCAAACUCUUUUUGUGAAACUAAAUUUUACAAAUUUUUUCUUAAUUUCAUGGAUGAAUUCAUAAAGGCACGACUGAAAUAUGGGUCUCAAACUCUUUUUUUUUUUUUUUUUUUGUUAUUAGAGGAUGUAGAAAAGAGAAGAGAGGAGAGGAGAUGGGAGUUUUAAUCGUGUAUGAUUAGUUCGAUUGAGUAUUUUCUAUUCUAGCGGCUUCAAGGUUGGUCUUCUUUGUACGGAAAGGAGAUUCAGGUCUAUGGGUAGGAUACUUUCUAUUUGUAAGGUAUCUUUAUGAGAAAAUUGCCGAUUUAGUCCACACAUUUUUGACAAAAAACUUUUUGAGUCCCUCGCAUAUAAAAUUGGCCAAAAUAAUCCCUUAAAUAUAAACAUUUUGCCUCUUUGGUUCCAAAACUCAUUUUUGCUCAUUUUUUCAGUCAAAAAGAUGCAUGCUUACCUCAUGUGCCCAUAAUUGCGAAGACAAAAUGAAGCAUGUGAUUUCCAUUUCAGUUGUAGAUGUAACCAAUUUAUUAGUAAAAAUAUGGUAGAAAGGUUUAGUGCAUAAAAUUGAUUGUACAGCACCACCAAUGAACAUAAGAAUAGGCGAUAUUCAUUGGGUGAAGAGUACCCCAUAGAGUAAAAACUUCCAUAACCAAUUGACCAAAAUGAGGAUCCCAAAUUGCAUGAGUAGGAAGUCUUAUGUGUAAAGAAUUUGGUGGGUGAAAAUUGAGAAAGGGAAGUCAUGUGGUUUUUUUUUUUGGGUGAAAGGAAAUGAAUUUUAUUCCAGUUAGCCCUAAAAUUAUGAAUAUGCGAGGCAGGCAUGCAUUUUUUUUUUUGGCCAGAAAACUAGGAAAAAAAAUGAGUUUUGGGACCAAAAGUACAAAAAUUGUUAUAUAUGAGGGACUAGUUUGGUUGAUUUCAAAUAUGGUGGACUAAAAAAGUUUUUUCUAAAAAUGUGAGGGACUAAUUUGACAAAUUUCUCUAUCUUGUAUGAUCAAAUCAGUUGGGCAGAAGAGGUAAUCUAACGAAGAGGGAGGAUACGGGAAAAUUUCUAAUUUUGAAAUGUAGAUAAUUCAGGGGUGGUGUUGUAUAUCACCAAGAUAAUUUUCUUCACUUUAAUUGUGUCUAACAAAAUUUUCAGGUUUUGAGAAAAAAUGGUUGAUUAGAUACAAAAAAACUUUAGUAACUAUUACUAGCUAUCACUAAUCAUUUUCUCCCAAUUUUUUUUUCCUUAAUAACCAAAUGUUUUUUCUUUACCUCACUUUCCCUCUAACUUAAAAACGUCUUAAGCUUGCCUUAAUAAUGCCCAAGAGGUAAACGAGCGGCCCAUAAAUGGGUUUGCCUGUCGCUAAGGUUCAAUGCCUUUCUAGGACACAGAACUAACUUAGGAAUAUGCAUACAAUUAAGCAUAGUUGUGGUCCAUGCCGAGCUGAGGAUGAUCAAAUAAAUGGAGGAAAUGUUGCUGCUGUUUAAUCAUUAAUGGUGGCUGUACUUAAAAAGAAGAGAACGCUUUCUGUCUUCAUUGUUGUGGACGCCAGAAAUUUUGCGCGUUGUUGGCUGGUGGACGCUAUAUCGAUCCUCAUGCUGGUGGUUGGUGGCUGGUGACCAGAAUUUUUAUUUAAGAGAGACCAACGUAUACAUGAUACUACAAAUCUACCUUAUCUCAAGUCAAAAUUUUAUUAAUCUUGUAAGGUAAUACAAGUAUUGAAAGGGAAAGAUGUUGGCAAUAAUUGUGAGAUAUAAGGUUUGAACUCUUUUUUUGAACUCGAGUUUUAUUAAGUUUUCUAUAUUCCAAGACUAAUAGUAGCGCAACUUUGUAUCGAUACCAUUUUUUAAUCUAUGUUAAAUUGAUUUGUACAAAAAAAAAAACUCUUUUAAACAAAGAUAUUCAAGAUUGAAGAAUAAGUGCUUGCAAGAUAUCCUUCAAUUGAAAAUGUUCCAAGAAAAAAAAAAAAGAAAAACUUUAAGUUAGAAGUUAGAUUCUGACUGACUCAACAUUGAAAUGAAAUUUGUUCUUUCACCAAUUUACAUCUCACGCCUUAUUGUUAAUUUUCCUAUUUAUUAUACAUUUUUCUAAUGUUAAAAAUUCAAUUUGGCUAGGUGUUAUCUUUUUCUCUUAGAAAAGUAUAGCUAAUUUGAAAAUAUAUCUAAAUGCAAGGAUAUUGUGAUCGCAUAUAUUUAUAUGGUAAGUUAACUACUGCAAUUUAGAUACGUUGACGUGUGCCCGAAAAAAAAAAAUCUUAAUACUCAUACAAGAUUUACCUCAUUUGUUAUCCAUUUUUUUAGUUCCUUAAUAAUUAAUUAUAUAUGAAAUUUACCUGCCUUAUUUAUCUCUUAACCUUAUUUUUUAUCUCAUAAAAUAGAUAACAUGUCCUCGUGACCCCAAACAAGUCGUCCUGUUCUAGUUUAAGCUAGGGCUGCAAACGAAUCGAGCCGCUCGCGAGCGGCUCGAGUCAAGCUCAAGCUCGAGCUCGAGCUCAGAAUAUUAAGCUCGUUAGCUCGCGAGCCGGCUCGCGAGCUUGGGUAUAUAUAUAUUUUUUAUUUUUAUUUUUAUUUAAUAAUAAAAUUACGUAUAUUAUAUAUAUAUAUUUUUAUUUUUUUAUUUUCAUAGUAAAAUUACGUAUAUAUCCUUAAUAUUUUAUAAUUUAUUAAGAAAAAAAUAUUAUUUUAUUUAUUUUUUUAAAAAUAAAAUAAUUAUUUUUUAUUUUUUUUCGAGCUCGGCUCGACUUGAUUCGAGUCGAGCUCGAGCUCGAAAUUUGCCAGCUCGUCGAGCUCGAGCUCGAGCUCGAGCUUGGUAAAAUUUAGUCGAGUCUCGGCUCGAUUAGCUCAAAGCUCGACUCGGCUCGGCUCGUUUGCAGCCCUAGUUUAAGCCUCUCGAUUCAUCAAAUUUCCUAUCACAAAAACCCAAAAUCACAAACACCUUGCCGUUAAUUAAGCCAAGCAAAACAUCAAAUUUGGUUUGCUUUCCUUCAUUUUCCGUUGAGAAAUUUCUUUAGGCCUUAGACAUUUCCACAAAGGGAAAGUCAAUAGCUUUCCCCAUCAUUUCGAGAAUAUCCGUACAUGAUACUGUAACCACGCCAGUUGUGGACCUAGCGGUAUAGUCUAGACAUGAGCUCCAGAAUGCUGAUGCAUAUGCAUAGCUCAGUUUCAAAGUUCAAACAAGCAUCCCAUCAUUUACAAUGAUGGGCCAUAAUCUGAAGCACGAGUUUGACAAUACUUUUGUGUAUGUGUUAGAUCUUGGAGGCUCUGUCCUCCUGAUUAUACAUGUAGUCCAGAUCAUAUAGUCCAGCAUGUGCAUGAUUGCGUCCCCUGCUGCAAGAGCGUAGUGAUUGAUGAAUAUUCUCAUUCUUGAAAACUUCCCAGUAAAAACAGGAGAUCGCGACAUAAAAUUUAGAAAACGAGACUCUGCAUAAUGCCACAUCUGAAUUCAAAUCUGAAACCAAGAAAAUGAUGCUCAUUUCCUUUUUUUCAAUGAACAUGACUGAUGUUCUACUAAACUGGCUGUCAAGUUUUUAAAUUAAGAAUCCAAUUUAUUGGAGAAUAAAAAAAAAAUUUAAGGGUAAGUAAGUAUAAGACCGCCAUAUGUGAAGGCUACCUACCACUCUUCAUUGGAUUUGUUUCUAUUGAUCUCUCCAUUUAAGUAUAUUUAAAUUAUUAUAACUUUAUAAAAUCAUCCGAUUUUGUCAUUAAUUUUCUUUUGAUCUGUAGAUCAACAUACUAAAAAUGAUAUUCUUUUGAGAAUAUUUUUGGCAUUCGAUUUAUACGAAAAUAUUUGAACAGUGAAAGAUGAGUCAAAAUUGUAUCAAAGAGUUAUAGCGAUUAAUCAUAUGGCAAAAUUUAGCCAAUUUCAUAUCAAAUUUUAUGUAUAACUUACACAAGUGACGAAAUAUAUCAUGAACGAUGUUGAUUUUUUUAAAAUAAUUUUUUAAUUAAUUUGGUUGGAGCGUAAUGGAGAGAAAUUCUCCUCAUUGCAAUGGAGAGUAUUUCUCCUUCACCCCCAAUACGGCCUCCCCUACAACUAGAAAUUUUAAGAGAAUAGAUUUAAAAACAAAUUACUAUAAACAGAGGGAAAAUAAGGCUGCGGUAAAUGGUGGCUGAAAUCAGAUCCUCAACUGUUUGAUUGUAAACUUAAUUCAAUCUGAGGAACCAAAUGCAGGUGGAAGAUGCUAUGGAUUUUGCAGAAUCUUCUGUUCUGGCGACUUCAAGUUUGGUCUUCUUUGUACGGAAAGAAGAAGAUUCAGUGUUCUUCUGGCCUAUGGGUAUGAUACUUCGAUUUUAAGGUAUCUUUAUUAUAACACCCACUUGUAUAAAAUAAGUUGGCCAGAAGGAGAUGAGAAACUUUCUAAUUCUGAAUUCUAGACAAUUCAGGCAUGGUGGUGUUGUACAUUUCAUAAAAUGGAGUCGCCAAAGAUUAAUUCAGAUUCCAUGAAUUUCAACUUUUUGGUUCUAAUUCUUGUUGAUUUUAAGUUUUGCAAGGACUAAUACAAAUUUUCAAAGUUUUGUAAGCGUCUAAUUUCGUUCGACUUAUAGCCAUUAGAACCCGGCGUCUACUGACAUAUUAGAAUAUUGUUUGGUUCGAGCAUAUUGCCGUCCAUGCCAAGUAGAGGAUGAUCAAACAAGUGGGUGUAAUUUUAUUUUUUUUUUGUCGACACGAUAGAUUUUACAUUACAAUUACUCCUACUCUACACUAAACAAUAAAGGAGAAUUCAGUGAAUCACCACCCGUGAGUACCUAUGCACCCGCUGGCGAAAUGUUUUCAAGAAAGCCUGGUUAUUAGAAUACAGGCGGCCAAAUAGAGCUUUAAAGCUCUCUUAGUUAAACAAAUGGGGGUAAUGUUGCUAUUUAAUGGUUGUUAUACUUGAAAAAUGAGAACGCAGUUUCUGUCUUUAUUAUUGUGGACGGAAGGAAUUUGCGUUGUGGUACCAUAUUGAGAAUCGAAUAAUAAUUCAUUCCACAACAUUUUAGAUUCAUGGCCAUUCAACAGUCAUGAUGUUUACAUUGUCCAGAUUUUUUUGAUCCCAGUGUUUUCAGGUCCAAGAAAAUGGUGGCCUGUGAGAACUUUUUGAAACAUAAACACGUCCAAAUUUUCUCCGUAGAUAGAGCAAAAUUUGUAUUUGCAAAAUGCACAAUUCUGACUUGCAUACUCCAUGCAGCAAAAUGUGCUAUGUCCUCACGCUGGUGGUUGGUGGAUGGUGACCUGUAGAGAUGUCUUCUGACCCUUCAGUUUGCAUUUUGAAGUCUGUAAAAUUGCCUUCUGAAUUUAUGGCCUGAUGACAAGUGCAUAGGCAACAAAUUGGUGUUAAAAAAAAAAGCCACCUAAAAAAAAAAUGGGGAAAAAGAAGGACGGAAUCCACAAGAAGUGGGUGAUGGAGGCUGGCAAGGCUGCAAUCAAAUAUAGCCUUACAUCAACAACGACUUCAGAAAUGAAAAGGUCUGUCAAAGCUAAUUGCCCUAUUUCCUUGCGCUAAAGUAAAAUGGCUGCUGUAUUACGAGUCGUUUAUCGCAAAUUAAAUAAAGGAAGAUUCAUCUCGACCAAUUAAAUGUUCAUUUUAAGGCUUUUCUUGGAAGGACAGUCGAUUAUUGGUCUAGAAAUGCAAAUAAAUUACACACGGUUAAUUUUGUUUUCUAAAAGUUUUGAGGCCAAUAGCUUAUGGAAUAUCAAUUAUUAGAAGGUCAAGAAUUAGAAUCCUUGGCAUAUUUGAAGUUCAAUCGAUUUCUGCUAGUCAAUUCAUUUGCGUCCAUCUCAGCGGGACACAAUUUCUCCCCCGGCCCCCGGGGACGUGCUCAGUUCCAUCUCAUGAAAAUCAGUGAUUUACCGGCGAGCCAAGGAAAUAUCAUGAUGCAGCUGCUCAAUGAAUCCUCCCUUGAAAUUUCUGACAAUUUCACCUCGUUUCGUCUCUACGAGAUUUUAAAUAUUAUAUUUACCUCUCAUUAUUUUGGAGUUCGUCCAUUUAUCCAAAAAAUUAAUUAACCCUUCCAUUAACUUUUUGUAGCCUGCUAUACAUGAUUGAUUAUCACUAUAAAUUUCUAUCUUUUAUGUGAUGCAUUUGCGAGUUGAUUUUUAGUUGGAUUUGUUAUAUGAAUUUUCUAUAAGCCAUGGGAAGAAUGAUUUGAGAAUGAGAAUUGAUAGUCUUUAGUAUUUCAUAUGAAUUAUUUAUGAGUAUGGAUUGACAUUAUUGUCAUGCUAAAAUUGCAAACCAGGGAGGUAAAUGUAAUAUAGAAAACUACAAGGGAGCCAAGAGAAAUUAUUGUUAGAAACCUCAAGGUAAGUUCAUAAAAUUAUCCUUAAUUUAUCAACAAAAAAAAAAAAAAAAAACCCCUGGAUGAUAUGUUGAAGGAUAAUCGAGGCAAAAGGCAGCAAGAACAAUUGAUGAAAUGAUAUUAUUGAAUAUAAAAGAAUUUUUGUUUGCGAGGGAAUUAGAUAAGUAGUUUGCCCCUCGAAAAAGGCUAGAACCUCAUGGCGUCCACCCUUGACUGAAUUCAAAACUUUCCUGUGUUGGACUUUGACACUUUGACCACUACUUUUCCAACCUGCUUGGCUCUUGGCUGGCUGCUUAUUUUGCUCCUCUCCCUCUCUAUCCUUCCUUUUAAUGCUUUUUCUAGUUUUUAUGGUUUUCUUUCUGACAAAUCGUUCUGUGUACUGACAUCUCCUUUACUACCUUUCAUUCAAAAAUAAUCCUUCCUAUGAACAGAAUCCUACCCCACUUUGGGGUGGAGUUUUUCUUUAUUUUUCCAUUAUAUUGAAUUGCUGAUGCUGAUGCAUGCAUACCUUUGGGCUUUUCCCUUAAUUACUUUUUUGUUACUUUUCAAAUUUUCUCUUCCUUGCUGAGGCCCAUCAGUUUUAAUUUUCUUCAUACUUUCUUUAGGUUGUAGCUUUCAAGAAUCAAGAGUCCCCCUUCCCCCUUUCUUCCCUGCCAACACCCAGCCUCCUACCCCGGCCCCCACCCCACCCUUCUUACUUCCCGAGAUAAACGGAGUCUCACACAGGGAAGUUUAAAUAUGCCUCCGCAAGUUGGCAGUUCAUAUUCCCAUUGACAAAUAGUUGUUCAUAUGAAUUCAGGAAGCCGAUCAUGCAUGAACCUUAGCAGCUUGUGGAAAGUUUAUGGAUUCUGUCUUCUCCCUUGGUGAAGGAGACCGUGCCAUCUUUCUCCAACACUUGGUUCAGUCUUUUGGUUGCACUUACAUCUGCCUCUGGUCGUACGAUCCCCAGCCGUCCAUGUAAGAGCCAAUUGAAAACCCUCCAGUUUCCCAUUUCUGUACUGUAAAAUGUAAAGCAAUCGGUACCUGAAAAGUUUCUUUUCUGAUCAGUUGUUUAAGGUACCGAGAUGGAUACUACCACGAAAGAAGUAAUAACCAACAGCCAAGUACAUCAUCAGGAAGUCUUGCUCACAGACGCUUCAUUGAAUAUGGGCAAUCAAUCAUCAUUGUUGACAGCAGGUAUGUAUACAUGCACAGAAAAAUCAAAUUGGUAAGGACUAAAACAGCACUUCGUGCACAUUAUAUCAAUAUUUAUGUUUGAAAAAGUUCUUUUUCUUUAUUCCUUUCACUUUUAGCCACAUUCCAGGAUUGGCUUUUCUGAACAAUCGUCCUUACAUGGAGCUUCAGUUGGCCGAUCUUCGCAGGAUGGCUUCCACUGAAACUCAACGCUUAUUCUAUGAGGUAUAUAUGAUGUUUACACAUGUGAUACAUGUUACGACACCUUUAGAACACUUACAUUUAUUGCUGGCCUAAUUCGGUUUCCAUUUUUUGUGAUAUUGCAGGAAGCUGGGAUCAAGGUUUGUUAAGUUAACAAUUUCCUUUUACUUUGUUUAUUAGUGCAGUCUUCUUAAUUUUCUAGUUCUAGCGCUUCUUGAUCAGUCUUUAACCUUAAAUUAUCAUAAUGCACCGUAUCUUGCAUGAUUCUGAAGCUUCCUCUUUUAAAUGUGAAUAUUCUAGACAGCCAUAUUUAUGGGGUGCAACGCUGGGGAGAUUGAGCUUGGGUUUUCUGACGGCUCCCAGGUAAAAGAAAACUUGCCACAUCCCAAAAUUAAUAAAUACUAUUACACACUACAGUUGGCACAUUAAGCCCAACUACCUACCUUGGCCUCAGGAGGGUUAUGUCUAUAUAAAUUAUUCAUUGCUUUCAAUAUAGAAAGAGAGACUCCUUCCACCUUUCAGGUCAAUAUGGAAUUGGAGAUGAGGAACUUGUUCCCUGUUGAUUUCUCUCGACCAUUAUUAGAUCCAACAACAACCAGAGAUCAGCUUCCCCAGCAGCUAAGCACUACUGAUCAGAACCGGCCUGCCUCAUCUUCAUCAUCCUUAAGGUCUUUAUCAUACGAUAGCCCCGAGUACUCUCCCCUCCUGUUUGAUAUGCCAGCCACUUCUUACCUCGUCCCUGAACCACAACGAGAAGCAAUGAUUCAACAGGCUUUAGGAUCAGCUCAUCGGCCAGUAUUUUCACCAACCGCUGCUAGUCCACACCAGCAAGCUAUCAGGGCCUUGAAUCAAAUCAGAAACAUUCAGUUACCGACAAUUGAGAGCGAAGAUGCUGCAAUGACAGAAGCCAUGAUUGCUGUCAUAUCAUCUAGUGCUUCUCCUUCAUCAUCUGUUCAACAACCCCAACAAAAUUUCCCGCCUAAUUACCGAGUAAAUGGAUCACAUGCUAGUGCAUUCAGAAGGUACAGGCCAUCCUUAGCCCCCAGGCUGCCAACUUCGUCCAGAAUCCAAGGGGAGAAUGUGGUCAAAAGAUCAAUCACGUUUCUCAGAACCUUAAACUCAAUGCGAUCUCAAGUACAAAUGCUAGCAGGCCGGACAUCAAGCACUCUGCAUCAUAUGAUAUCAGAGAGAAGAAGACGAGAAAAACUCAAUGAAAGCUUUCAGGCAUUGAGAUCACUGCUUCCUCCUGGAACCAAGGUAUAAUAAAGAUUUUAUAGUCCAAAAUCUUAGUAAUCCAAUAGCAGAAUUAUUUUUUUGCAAACAAAUCUCUUAUUUAGGGGGAGUAAAUAAAAUUGCAUUUUCAGAAGGAUAAAGCCUCGGUGCUAACGAGUACAAGGGAGUACUUGAGUUCUUUGAAAGAUCAAGUUGCUGAACUUAGUAAAAGGAACCAUGUAUUAGAGGCACAACUUUUGCCAAAAAUGUCUGCAGCUAUUGAGGAAACAAGUAGCGCGUGUCUCGUCCGUCGAGAGGGUUGAGGUGCAGAUUAGAGAUGUUGGUGCAUCCACAUCAGCAUCAUCAUCAUCAUCAUCAUCAUCAAGAAUUGUGGACUUGCAAGUGAUAUUGAGGGCUGAAGUUAGCAUGGUAGAUUUAGUGGUUCGUUUGCUGGAGUUCUUGAAAAUUGAUCAAAAUGUAAGCUUAAUGUCUGUAGAAGCCAACACAAGAAUGGCAGAACCAACUUCCGUAAGCAACGUAGUUUUGAUGAGGCUGAGAAUUGAGGUAUGCGCUGCACUCCUGUCUUUUACAUAAGCAUCAGAUCUUUAGUACUCAAGGUUAACUGUUUUAAAUGUUAUUGUUUCCUUUGCCGUUUUGAUACCUUUUUGCAAAAGAUACUCAUUUUUACCAAGAAUAUAUGGUAUUGAUAUUGUGGUAACAAACAUUGAACUGAAGAAUUUCGAAUGAUAAAGUUGAGGCCAAUGAUCACUUACUUCUUCAACCAGCGCAUUUUUUGAAAAUUUAGAAUGCUAUAUAUUCCAAGGAAGAAUUUGAGAUACCUAAAAAAUAGUGCAACUUAUUUGUUUGUUGCACUCGACAUCCCUCUCUAGGAAUUCAACUAUGCAAAGAUGGGAGUUUUUUUUUUAAUCACACUAGAUAACUUGGUAAAUUUGACUUUUAAGAUACAUAUUCAAAUUGGUUUAUAAUGACUUCACUUAAAUAUUGAGUGCUCUUAGCUUAUAUGUAGUAUGAACAAAUAUUUUAUCAUGAACCAAAUAUAUGUAUGAACAAUAGUAGCUAAAAAACUAAGAUAACUCCAAAUUGAUGGAAUCUUCUUUACUUGUAUGCUAAAACUAAUCCUGUCUAGGGACAUUACACUUGCACGAGUAUCAUCCAAUGUGACCACUUGAUAAAUAUAGAAAUUCAGAAGGAAGUUUCCGUGACAUCAAGCUUGCAGUUCCUCCACUCAAUAUUGAACUAAUCAAAAUAUUAAAAUAACUUUUUCUUGAAGAAAAAAUAUAAUUGGUGUCUAAUUUUCUUGGUUCAUUCUCCAUGUAGGAAGGUGAAUGGGACGAGUCUGCCUUCCAAGAAGCCAUAAGGAGGGUUCUUAAUGACCUUGCGCAGUGACUAAUGCCACCAAACCAUCUCAUGACACUUGUAUUACUUGUCCAAAUUACGUAAAGUUUUUCCCAUGAUUUAGAGACCGGCGGCUCCCGUAGACCUCAGCUGGAGAUUGGGGUGGUUGUUGUCAUCUUUUUCCCAGCUAACAAAUCAAGCAGCAAACCGGGUAAAGGUAGCAGAGAGAUUGUAGAAGAGUUUGAUUCAUCUUCUAGCACUCGUCACAAUUUUGGUAGCCAACAAAAUCUUGAUACGAAUUUACGAGCAAAGCUUCCCUUAAGGAAGCCAGGCUGAAGUAUAGACAAUGACUGGAUGAUCUACGUGCAAAAGUUUGUCUUUUUUUUUUUGGAAAACUAUCUCUUGUAACUUUUAACUCAUAUAAAUUACAUACUCCAUGCCUAUAUAUUUUUGAACUUAAUUAAUUGUCUGAUUGUUGGAAAGAAUUUUUAGUCUGCUGGUUCCUAUUCCAUCAUUUAAAUUUUAGGGUUUUCUUUCUUGUCGAUUAUUUCAGCUUUUCAAAACUUGACAACAAGAAGAGGAUAGGCCAGUAAACACCCCUUUGAAACAAUCUAGGACUUCGGAGCCUGUGCGUUGCUCUAUAGAGUUUCGAAGCCAAAAAUUACUUCGUAAAAGCAUCUCUCUCUGGAGGUCUUUUUCAGACGAGUACUUUUUAUUAAGAGUCAAUACAAGAAACAAAAUCGAAGGCCCACAAACUAAUUUUGUGUUUCUGUAUGAACAAAUAUAUUUUAUGUAUGUACACACACAGAGAGAGAGAGAGACUAAAAGUUUUGAUCAUGAGUUAAUAAUAAUCAAAGGAGGAAAUAAUAAACUUAUUCUAUAAAAUAAAUAAAAAAAAAAAAACCAAGUGCCUGGAGUUGGGCAGGACCGGAGCAAUAGACAUGAAAGGCGAUGAAUGAGCAUCACGCGUUUCGUGUAUAAAUCCAAGUAAAAGUGAUGAUGAGGUUUAUACGGAUUUGAUGGUGUUGCCAUUCUUGACUGAAUAGGAAAUAUGUAGACCAUCACCAUUGUCCUUGAGAGAGGAGAAAUACAUACUAGUGUGUGAGGGAAGAAGCGUCCAAUAAAUUCCGAUGUAUGAAUUCAAAGAUUUGGUCCAACGUCAAAACCUUUACUUUUUUCAAUUCCACCUAAUCCAUGUCCCUGCGUUUCGCUUUCAUGCCUUCAGCCUCAAACACCACUACUAUACGUACCACUACUAUAGACAUUAAGUACAUGGUUAAUUAUACAGUAUUGUCCUUCCCCCCCCCCCCCCCCCCAACACUAGAAAAGCAUUUCUUUUAUUCAUUUCUUUCUUUUCAUUUGUAUAUGGUUAUGAAGAAAAAAAUGGGUAGUACGUAGCUUGAUAUCUCAUGAGUCUUUUUUGCUUGAUAGACUUAAACCAAGAAAUUAAUAGCUUAGAAUCGACGAUUUUGACCGAAAUUUUCUUGAAUGAGACUUCGAUCGUAGCUGUACUUGUUUGUUUAAACAUCUUGCUAGUAAUCAAAUGCAAACGAAAGAUUCAGCUCUUAUAUUGUAUUUGUUUCAUUCAAUUUUCAAUUACACAGCUGCAAUCUGCAUAAUUAUCUCACGAGCUGAAUGAGAUGCGAGUCAUAGGACCAAUCGUCCAUCGAAGCUUUUUUUUCUUUUUGCUCUUUCGCGACUCACCAAAGGUGAGUUUAAUAACAUAGCAUAGAGAAAGUUUUGACCAGCAAUGAUAAAAUACAUGCAUUUAAAAACCUCCUAGAGAUUGAUGAGUUUCUGAAACGUUCAAUGGAUUUGAAGGAGCUCAAAUUUUCCAGAAAUUCAAUGGAUUACUAAUCUCUCGAUCUCCUGAUCUUUUCCAAGAGUUUAAUUACAUCAGAUAAAAGUUGGCACCUGGUAGUAUUAAACAUUAAUGAGGAAUUGCAGUCUGAUGUUAUCUGGGGAGGGUACGUUUCAUAUAGCUUAUAAUUGUCUAGAAGGCAUUUUCAAUCAUCUUUUGAGAGAAACUAAUACCCAGAAAUUGAUGGAUUCGAAAAACAUGAGGCUGCAAUUUGCCUUUUCAUUGAUAUUUCCCUUAUCAUGCAUGCAGUUAAAAGGAUAUAUUUGUAGUCUGUAAAUACUGUGUUAUGUCUUUAUAAUACACGCGUGUACGUAUCUUCUAAAAAACUUUGUAUUCACGCAUAUUGUAAUUAUUCUGAAAAAUAUUCAUAUGUAUGGAAGAUGUGUAAAUAAACUGGUAACUUUUGGCAUGUCAUACUUCCCUAAUAAUACUUCAAAUUUUGGAAAAAUGUAAAUUUUGUCUCAGGAUUGCGAUAUAUAUAUAUAUAUAUAUAUAUUUCAAGUCACACAUAAAAAUUUAUAAAAUUGUAACUAUGCGUAUCAUAAUUUCUAUGAAUUUAUACAUAUGAAACUAAUAUGAUCAUAAAAUUGGGUUUGUUUGGAUAGGAUAUUAUUUGAAAUAUUAUUUGGAAUAAUUACUGUAGCACUUUUUGUAAUGUGAUGUAUGUGAGAUAAAAAGUGGUGGUUGGAAAUAUAAAAAGGUGGGUUGGAAAAUGUGUUUAUGAUGCAAGCGAAAUAUUAUUUGGGAUAAAUUUUGUAUCCAAAUUAGUUGGAAAAUGUAACUAACAUAAAGUUAGUUUCAUACACAAGGGUUAGUGUUAAAACUAAUAGUAAUGUAACAUAAUCUAUAAAAACCUGUUGUUCGAUUGUAACUUUCAAAUAUAUUUAUACUAUUUUCCGCAUAUAUAUUUGUGCAUUAUUUUGCCAAAUUCAUAAUUUAUGUCAACUUUUUGAUCCUAUUUUUGAAAGAAAAAAAAAAUACAUACCCGUAUGAAUACAUGUGCUAUUCCUUUUGAUGCUGAUUCCCUAUUUCACUAACUGUGGAUACAUGUCAAGAGUUUAUAUCAAAAGUUCGUGCGGAAUUCUUCUGUAGUCCUUUCCUUCUAUUCCUCGAACUGUAGUGUGACAAAUUGGGAUUUGGCAACCAUUUAUGUCCUACUUUCUGCCAGACAGUUUGCUUGCUGGAUAGUGAUGUGUGUUAGACAAACAACAGGAUCAGUAGAUACUAGAAAGGAGGCCAAAAUAAAAAAAACAACUGAAUGUGACAAAAGUUGGGAAGUUUGGAAGAAACAUGGAUCAUUAGAGAGAAUUUUCAUCGUGUAAUUGGAUUAAAAACUCUCAAAUAUUACUCCACUUGCCCAUUAGAAAGAAACCUUUAGCUUGACAAAGUGAGCAUAACUAACCUCGGGAAUUCUUUGAGAAGUUUUACAAACUCAGAGCCCACAAAACUGUUCUCUACCAUUUUUAUGGAAAUUAGCAGAGUGAAAUAGUAAAAUUCAGAAAGGCCAUUAAUGUUUAAAUUCAUGGAAAGGAAGAUUUUGCUCUCCUACUUAACUGUUUCCAUACAUUUUCUUACAGAAGUAAGCAUGUUUUUGCAAAUAAACCUAAUCCCCACAGUAACUUUAAAAGCCGGCAACUUUUGAAGUCCUACGAGGGACUUAUCUACCCAAACACCCAACCGCCCUCCCCAAUCCGAUGUGGGAUAGAAAACCCCACAGGGUGCCCUGCUGCUAAGAAGUAACUACCCCCAAGCCCUUGGGAAUGAGUUUUCUGUUUCCAUACAUUUUCUUACAGAAGUAAGUAUGUUUUUGCAAAUAAACCUAAUCCCCACAGUAACUUCAAAAGUCGGCAACUUUUGAAGUCCUGCGAGGGACUUAUCUACCCAAACACCCAACCCCCCCAAUCUGAUGUGGGAUAGAAAACCCACAGGGUGCCCUGCUGCUAAGAAGUAACUACCCCAAGCCCUUGGGAAUGAGUUUUCUGUUUCCAUACAUUUUCUUACAGAAGUAAGCAUGUUUUUGCAAAUAAACCUAAUCCCCACAGUAACUUCAAAAGUCGGCAACUUUUGAAGUCCUGCGAGGACUUAUCUACCCAAACACCCAACCCUACUUAACUAAUUCUUGAUUCUUGAAAGGCUAUUUAGUAGCCUAGCAGUGGAUGUGGAUCCCACUUCUAGAAGAUGAUAAUCUUCCAUAUUUGGAAAAAUCCUCCUUCUGGGAAAGUUAUUCAGAAUACUUCAGCAUGUCUACCUAAGAUGACACAUUUCCAAAUGAGAAGAAAAGUACCUAAUCCUAGGAUGUUUCGAAGAAGGAGAAAAACGGGCAAAGAGUAAGUAGCAGCAGCAUACAGCAGCAAAGCCAACGCCAUUGAUUGCUCAGCUAAGUACCAAAUCCUGGGAUGUUUCCAAGAAGGAGAACACGGGAAAAAGAGCAAGUAAUAGUAGAAUAUAGCAGCAAAGCCAACGCCAUUGAUUGCUCGGCUAAGAGGUUCCAAUCAAGUUGGGGAAAAAAGUGUUGAAAAUGGAACGGCUAUCAUUGUAGCCUAGAACUAAGUAUUCUCAAUUUUCACCUUUCCUAUCAAACUUUUGAGGUGCAAUGAUGUUAACAGAAACUGGAACAAUUAUCGUGUUGAUGGGUUGUGGAAAAAGCACAAGACCUUAACAAUCACGGACCUCAUUUUAACCAUAUGUUGUAAUUUUGGAAUUUGACCAACUGACCAAGAAUCAAGUACUUGAUAAAGUUUACAAAAUAGACUAAAAAAAUAUAAAUGUCGGGACAUUUUAUACUCCAAUAACCUAAAUACAGAAAGGAAAAAGAAUACAAUCAUUGCAUACGUAAUAUUUAGAAUCAAACUGUUUGUGAGCGUUCGUGAAUUGGUUUGGUUAAAACUCAACUCAACGUCAAUCAACAUCGAAUCAAAUUCGAAUCGAACUCGAGCCAACCAGGUCGAGCUCGGACACAAAUAAAUUCAGUUCGUUAGCUCAUGAGCCGCUUGAUUAUAUAUAUUUUUUAUUUUAAUAGUGAAAUUACAUAUAUAUUCUUAAUAUUUUAUUAUUUGUUAAGAAAAUUACUAUUUUAUUCAUUUUUUUAAAAAACAAAUAUAAUUAUAUUCUAUUUUUUAAACUCAAGUAGGCUUGAACUCGAACUCAACUCAGCUUGAAUUUGAGGUCGAAUUUAAACUCGAAUUUUAUAUUGAGAGUUCGUCAAGUUUGAGGUCGAACUCGACUCAAUUAAGUCAAAACUCAACUCGACUCGUUUGUAAUCCUAGAUACCGUAAUCUAUUUACUUAUAAUACUAAUUGUGCAAAGACGUUAUUCAACCACGGCAUUCUUGCGUUCUAGUUAACAUUUGAAAAAUCGUUCUUCUUUUUGAGUAUUCAUAUGAGAAUUCAUGUCGUGUAACAUAAACCUUCCUAAUGUGUUGAAUCAGCUAAAAAUAUGUCAUUACAAAUAGUUAAGCGUAUAUUAACACUAUAAAGAAAGAUAAACUUGGAAACAUCAACCUUGGAGAUUAUUGAUAUCGAAUGACAGAGACAAAAUGGUAAGAGCUAUCUUGAAAAAGUUGACGGGAUAAAGUUAUCAAAAUUUGAAAAUAUUCCACAAAAAAGCAAAAGCCUUCGAAUGUGACGUACGCCAAUCCUGUGGAAAGUUCAGUAUGAUUAACCUUCUUAAUUAAUAGUGCGUAGAGCGUGAAAAACUAGUUGAACGGUAAAUCGACAACUUCUGUCAUCUCAGCUGCUUAGUAGAAGACCAUCGUCAGAUGAAAAUUUGUAUUGGAUGAAUGGGGAUGGCUGCUGGCGCCGGAAGAAAACGCAGGACCAGUUGAUGCUGAAAAUUCCACAUUCUAAAUUUCUUUUUUUCUUGUGAGGGUGAUUAGCUAUCGGACUACUCCUGCAAGAAUAAUACCACUCUCUUUUUUGGCUUCAAAGGAAAACAUUUAAGUGGGAACCCUGAAACGGAAAACAUUUCCUUACUGUAACUUCCAGGAAAGAGCCCUAAGCAUCCGCUUGGCUUUCCGUUGCUCCUUAUCCUUCUUUGCCUCUUAGCUGUCAGCAGAUCGAAUUGGUCAGCCGGACAACUACGCAUGAAAGUGAAGUUUAGUUUCAUCAACUGGACUGGAUGAAUCUUCUAACAUGGUGAUGAUAGUUACUUGGCCAGUUCAAGUUUCUGCACACAUUACAAAUGGUAAGAGACCCUUUUUGUGACUUUUCCGGAAAAAGACUUUUUCUCCACAGGGGAAAAGAACAACGGGGUUAGGUGCACCUGCGGUUAAUGAUUUGGUCAGUCAAUUUGAAAACCACCCAAGAAAAAAAUGAAAUUUGAAGUUAGCGCUCAAAUCCAUCCGAACUGGACUGACCAGCAACCUCAGAGAAGCCCCCGUGUCCAGUAGAAAACAUGCGGAGAGAGAGAGAGAGGCAUUGGCCAAAACAGAGAUGAUAAUAACAAUAAUAAUAAAUAAAUAAAUCCAAAGCUGAAAGGAAGGAUAAGGCAUGAUCUUACUUUCCUCAAAAAUCACCACCAAAGUGGUUGCAGACCAAUGUCGUGACGUACAAAUGCUGCUGUAUAAACGAUGAUUAGAACCUGGAAAUCAAAUUCCAGAAAAUUAACAAGGGCCUUGCACUUUCUAGACCAACAAAAAUUUUGAUCAAUUAGAUGACCAAGAGAAUAUGUAUAUCUGACAGAUAGAAGAUACAGGGCCAUCACGAGAAAAUCAAAACACUGUUACAGAUGGCCUGCAAACAAGAGUGCUCCAACUCUAAGUACUAUCAACUUAAUCCACUGCAUGGAGCAACCAAGAAGAGAAAUGAAAAAUAGCAUUUACACCCAGAGGACAUUCACACUUUAUGCCUCAACUGCAGUUACAACUUCUUCAUCGGUCGUAUCCGAUGCAACAAUCUCCCCAACAGUGUCUCCAUCUAAACCUUCCGGAUCAGUAUCUGCUUGCUUGCUUCUGCACCAACAAGCUUCUCCCUAAGUUUCACCGUAAGUUCUUCUCGUACGCUCUCGUUUGAAGCCAGGUACUGUUUCAAGGCCUCCUUGCCGUGUAUUGUCUCACCAUUCACAUAAUAAAACCCACCAUUCUUUCUGAGGAACUUGUGCUUCAAUCCUAACUCUAUGAUCUCUGAUUCACGACAAAUCCCCUUCCCAAAUUCAAGCUCAAACUCUGCUGUUCUAAAUGGAGGGGCAUGCUUGUUCUUUACAAUCUUCACCACAACUUGGCUGCCUAUGGUCUGUAAACAGUCGGAAAAAAAAACAGCAACAGCACCCACGUGAAUAAAGAACAUGAACGAAGUCAAGUCUAGACCACAUACUCAUUUAGGUCAUCUUGUUAAAAACAAUUGAUUCCAGUCACUCCAAUCAAGGUAUCCAUGUAAACUAAAGCAGUUAAGAUUGUUCAAUAGUAAGAGCAACUGACCAUAUACCUAUACCUUCAACAGCUCAAUAUGAAGAAAAAGCAUGCAAAGUAGUGUGUUUUCUUCUAUAUCCUUUAUAAGAGACCACUAAUGCUGCUGAUCAAAGGCCAAAGAAAAAAAUCAAAUAAACAGUAGACAAAACUCGAGCAAUUAAUUACAAUUUAACAAUAACUCUUAGGAGAUGAAAAAUAACAAAGUAAAGAAAGCCUUUAAUCUCUUUUGAUAUGGUACAAAUAAGGCAAAAUAUAAUUGUAUGGCUCAGCAGAUUAGCAUCCUUCAACCAGCCAACUUUAGUCCACACGUUUGAACAGCAUACUGCAGAUUAAUCCAGUCUUCAGAAUUUCUUUACAAUAAAGCAUUUUUUUCACAGAACAAUACUUCAUAAGACAAAACAUUUUCAUUGAAGGACCUCUUUACACAAUUUAGCACGUGCAUGCAGAGAGAGAGAGAGAGAGAGAGAGAGAGAGAGAGCAACUAAAAUAAUACAAAAGCACAGACCACGGAUACAGACACGGUUAACUUUGAACAAAUAGAAAACAAUCUCAUGGUCAAAAAUGUUUAUACAACCAAAAGGUGUCAGAUACAAAACAAGUGUGAGCAUCUAUUUCCAAAUCCAAGGCUUACAAUUAGAGGCAAAAGAUCCUUCAGGUUGCCUCUUGAACAAUCAAAACCACAUGUUCAAAAUGUAAACUUAAGUAACUAAGAGGCAAUUAGAGAUGCAAAAAAAUUUUACCUCAUCACCCCUCUUGACAAGACCUAUUCUCUUGAUGUUUAGACGCACUGAAGCAUAAAACUUCAAUGCAUUACCACCACAGGUGACUUCAGUGGGGCCACCAAAUCCAACAACAGAUAGUUUUGCUCUGACCUGAGUAACAUGUAAUUCCAAGAAGUUGGUAACUGUAAAUUAGCAAAUUAUAGGAAAAGAAAAUUGAUAAAUUGCAAAGUAGCACAAGAAAAAGUAUCAGUCCUCAGGCUCCAAACUUAUUUAGAGAGGUGAAAGGACUAUAUUAAUGUAUGAGAUAACAUUAAUUCUCCCCUGGUAAUUACUUACCUGGACAAUCUAGUUCAUGCCUAUAAGCAACCUCACAUGUCAUGUGAAGAAGUUCUAAAGCAAGCAAAACCAUAUUAAGUAACAGCAUAACCUGAUCUUAGUAUGACAUGCGUGAUUAAUAGUCUAAUUAUGUAACAUCAAACCAAAUAGAUAAAACAAAUGUUCUUCAGGUUCUUCUUAAAAAUUGCAAAAAAAAAAAAAGUCUACUGGGACAAUUGAACCAAAUUAAUCAGGUCUGAUUAAGUUUUUAUCUCUUUUCCACAGUUCCAUUUAUUUAGACAGGGGACUGAUGAGUUCCUGGUCUAUUUGAGUGGGCUGCUAAGCUUUAUUACAAAUCAAAGCAGUAAUGCACCCAGGUUUUAGUAUUAGCAAAUUUAGGCAGGCACCUCAUCAGAUGAGAAAAAAGAAGGUUCUUCACGACACCUAUAAACUCUAUACAGAACUUCUGAAACUCAUUAGCAGUACCUGAUUAAUAAAGAUUAGGAUAGUUUGUGAUAAAGACAAAGAAUGGCUCAGUUUGCGAAGAGCCUGGCUCAUUAAUCUAGCUUGCAUUGCCAUGUGAGCAUCGCCCAUUUCACCGUCAAGUUCACUUUUGGGGACAAGGGCAGCAACCUGAAAGCCAGUAAAUCAUUCAAAAGUGACUUACAAUCAAAUGACCGUAAACAAUAUCCAGAGAUUCAACAGCAAUCUCAACUUUUAAGGAUCAGCAAUCCAGCUUACACUGUCCACCACAACAACAUCAACUGAACCACUCCUGAUAAUGGUAUCUACAAGACUGAGAGCCUGCUCCCCACAAUCUGGUUGUGAAAGAAGUAAGUUUUCAGUGUUGACUCCGAUAGCCUGAGCUAGGGCUGGAUCAAGAGCGUGCUCAGCAUCAACAAAAACACAGUAGCCUACUCCAAAAAAAAAAAAAUUCAAAUUGCAAUAUUCUGUAAAAUCUUGACACAAAAAUUGUAAGAAACUCUAGUACGAAAAUUUAAAAAACCUACUUUGUUCUUCUUGAAAAACAACCUGCCUAUAGGCUAGCCUUUAAGACAAACCAUAUAGACAUAAAAUACUUAUGACUUAAAACCUUAACUGCAAGAAAAUAGAAUAUCAACUGCUUAACUGCAAGAAAAUAGAAAUAUCAACUGACAAAAUCCUAAUAGGAGCAUUACUACAGGAAGCACUUAACUGCUGCAGAUACAAAUAUUUGUCCAUGUUGGCGGGCAAAUGGCGACUGACAAUAUUAGACUAGAUGAUUCACAAGCCAUAGAAAAUCAGACUACUACCCUCUUUCUCACAAUCAGUACAACGAGUCAUCUUAAAUGCAACCAGUACCAGAACCUACAGCGAUCCAAUUCAGAGUGAAAGGACAUUUCUAACUAAUGGGUUAAAAGAUAGAACUUGACAUUCAACACUCAAAUCUGACGAAAUUCAAGAUAAAUUCCACUUAGGUAGCUCAUUAAGAACUAUUUUGACAUCAGCAGCAUCAUACUGAGAAUGCAUAUAGACCUCCAGAUGUCAUUGCUGACAGACUUUGAGCACAUCUUUCAAUGGGAAGUCAGAUCUUUGCUUCACUGUAAAAUAUCAGUUUUUAAUUUCAAUGCAUUGAUCGUAUUUUUCUAUGCCAAACACUCAUAAGCAAACCACCCCAAGACACGAAGAUAAGCGCCUCUCUAAAUACUCUCUUAGCAGAAAGAAAAAUAGGGAAGUCUCUCUACUCAUGGAACUAUUAGGAAACCUUGGAAAUGAAUACUGCAUCAAGAGAAAGAGCAAGACUGCAUAAACUAAUUCAAGUCACCUCCUUGUUUCUGUGCCUCAGCAAUUACAUGUAGAGCAAGAGUUGUUUUUCCAGAAGCCUCUGGACCAUAUAUCUCCACAACACGUCCCUGCACACAGUAAACAAUAAGGUUAACAGAAACGAAUAGUGAUACAAAGUAAUUAAAAAGUUCCAUUUCAGUGAAGGUUUUCAGGAACAAGACAAAGCUUUUCUUUUGCUACACAAUUUGGAAAUUGCAAAUGCUGAUUAAUCAGAAUGGAAAGAUUCAAAUCAAGAAUAAUUACAGCAGCUCUUAGUUGAAGUCCCAAUUAGAUAGAGAAAAGUCCUUUCAGUGGUAUAGUAUUGCACUCUAAAACGAUGUCAAUAUGAUUCUUUAGAAAUUUGCAGAUAUUUAGUGCACUUGAAACAAUAAUUUAAAAUCAGCAUCUGGCAUUACAGCAUGAGAAACACAUAAGAUGUCCAACCUUUGGAAGUCCUCCAACCCCAAGCGCAAUAUCCAAAGCAAAUGAACCUGUAGACACAACUGGAACUUGUUUGACAGGGGCAGAGCGACCAAGCCACAUGAUAGAACCUUUUCCAAAUGAUGCAGUGAUCUGAUCCAUUGCCUGCUUGAGUGCCAAAUCUUUCUUUGACAUAUUCUCCUCACCCGAGUCACUUCCAUCUGACUUGGAUUUUCUUCUACCUUCCAGACAAAAAAUGACUUAUGUUCAUAAUGAACUAAUGAAGCAAAAAAAAAUAUGAUAUUUUCUACUGCAGAGAGAGCAAAAAGUAGGUACUCUCAAGCAGAAAUAACACAAUCCCAGCCAAAUGUAAAAAAUAUCAAACUCAACAAAUUUCAGCAAAAAGCUACACUUAAAAGAAUCAUCUGAUUCAAAGAAGCACAGAGGGGAAAAAAGUCAAGUGAUUGUCACAUUAAGAUGAUGCACUUAAUGUUAAAAUACUCCAGGAGGGAGGUACAAGUCCAAAAUAUGGCAAAAUACUUGCAUACUUGGGUGCUAUAUAAUUUUUCUGCCAGACACUUGGUUUUAAGAUUCUAGUGAACAGAAAACACAAAACAUGGGGAAAACAUGCAUGCGUCACGCUAAAUAAACAUGACGUUUGAAGUAUUCAAACACUAAGCAAAUAUAUGUAUUAGUUUUAACUGGUCCUGGCAAGGGCUAAAGCCUAAAAAGAUAGACUUUAUAUGCAAAAGUUAUUUUACUUUAUCUAUUUUUGAAAUCCAUGAACAUGAUCACCAAGACAAGAAGGUAUGAAGACAAAUGCAGGUCAGUUCAGCAGGAAAAUAAACUUCGGGCACCUUUGGAGGAAAAGUAGGAGAGCUGAGUGGAUGCCCCUAACAAGCUCUUCCUAAAAGUCUGCAUCAACAAACAAUAAAUACGUGUCAUGACUCAUGAAGAAAGUGAGAAACAAAAUAAAAUUUAAAAAAAAAAAAAGAAGAAGAAAGCAGUAAUAAUUGAAAAACAAUGUCACAAAACGUAUCUAACAAAAGACAUUUUCUUUAUACAGUAUGCCACUUCAAUAAUCUUUUUAAAAAAAGGAACAACUUCUGCAACUUAGCAAAGUAAAGCAUUUGAUUUUCGUAAUUUAUAGGAAAUUAUAGAAUAAUCGUUUAUUCGCAGCUUCCGGCUGCCAAUAACAAAUAUAAACACUAUAUUACACCUAUAACUUCAAAACAAUAGUACAAACAAAACAUAGAUAGCGAAAAAACGCUGAAACUCAACAAAGCUCUGAAAAACAUAUUUGAGCAAAAGCUGAAAAUAAAAAUAAAAAAAAAAACACUUCAAAUUUCUACAACGGGCCAUUACCUAUCAUUAAUCCUAACCAAAAUUUUCAAAAAUACAAAGAAAAUAAGAAGAAAAUCUUCCCUAUUUUAAGUGGCCAUCCUUGUAUUUCUGGUUUGCUGAGGAAAUUACCUGAGAGGGAGGUUGCAGAAACAGAGAGCGUCCGAAAGAAGAAGCAUUUCGGAGAAGCCUCGCCAUCAUAUUCAAAGGCUUCCACCAAACCCAAAGAAAAAAAGGAAAGUCAAAAUCCCUUUGAGAAUGCCCUCCUCACUCCACUCUGAACUUUUUACUAUCUCUAAAAAAAGAGUAGGACUCUUCUCUGUCUCCUCUCACAAGAGACUUGAGAGAGAGAACGGCCAAAAAAGGAGCUGCUAAAUCAUUGUGCUUGAUUCGAAAAGUUACUUGAAAGCUUUUAAGAGAAGUAGAAGUGAAGGAAGAAGAAGAAAGGAGGAGAGAAUUUUUUUAGGGUUUUAAGCAAUUUUCCCUCGCUUUCCAGCUCUUCGUUGUAGCCUCGCCUUGCCGUGGUUUCCUCGGACGACGAAAAAGAAAUUGGAAAAGUUUUGGAAUUUGGAAUUAACCAAUGAAUUAGGUUUAAUUAUAUUUACCUCCCCUGAGGUUUGUUCGAACACGUAUUAUUUGAAAUUUUAGGUUUAAUUUGGUUUAAAUACAUUUAGAAAGUUUGACCAAAUAACAAAAACUCGCUGUCAACAUCAACAUCCGACUAACAGGAAUUAUGAAAUAACAGAAUUGCCCUCUUUUAGUUCAAAUAGUAAAAAAACAGGGAAAAAAAAAAGAAGGAGAAAGACCACAAGUAGAAGAUGGUGAAUACAUAAAACAAUACAAAAGCUAACAAAAAGCAAAGACCAAAAGAAAAGCAAGGUUGAGGAGAAAAAAUAAACAGCUUGACAACCUAAUUUUUUAGUUUCAUAGAUUAAUUGAUAGGAAAAAUGAGAAAAAAAGGGAAAGCUUAGUAGUACUAAUUUGCAGUAAUUACCAAAAGAGAACAAAAAAAGAAUGAAAAAAGCAAACCAAAUUUUGACACCAUCCCAGAGUUCCUGCACCAUUAUUCUUUUUCUAACAAUCUAAAUAAGAUUUCUUCUCUACUUAAUCUUCUUUGAUAUUCUUUCUUUCUCUUUUUCUUGACCCUUUGUUUCAUUCCAUUCCUAGUCAACCAAAAUCAAAAUUCUUCUUGAACUUGAGCCUUCUUCAUAUCAUCUUCCCUCUUUUUCAUUCCUCUACUAAACAGAAACAUACAAAGAUUCAAAACAUAUCUUCAAAAUUCAAAUUCUAUUUGGAAAACUUUGAAGAACAUAAAAAGUCCCAAAUCGGACCUUUUAAAAUUUUGAGUUUAAAACAAUAAAUGUGAAUUGGGAUUAGAAUAUAGUCGAUUGUGUUGACUUUCUCCUAUUUUUAUAUUUUCCUCUUUUUUAGAAUCAUAUCAGUACAUAUUAAUUUCAUGAUAUUUAUUUGCCAUUUAAAGGUGACGGAGUAGGCAAGUAGUCAAGGUUUUUCAUUCCACAUGCUACUCUAUGAUCAUCUAGAUUGAUUUUGUGGGUAAGUAAACGUUCUAAACUAAAAUACAAGUUAGAAAAUGUAGUUUUAUGGAUUUUUGCCUCCAAUUAUAGUAGUGGCUGGUGGUGGCUAUUUUAAAAGCUUAGUUUUUAAAAAAAAAAAAAAAAAGAAAAGAAAAGUUUGAUUGACGACUUUUUAGCGCGGGUAUUCUUGUGCUUUCAUUGCGUAUUUAUCGCCAAGCUUUCAUUGCAAGGGGGAGUCUGUUACACAUUCAUGACUUUGAAGGCUUUUUUUAUAAUUUGGCCAAAUUUUAGGGACUGAAUUUUAGUUUAACGAAACAUCCGGGGAAGUAAAUGUCACUGCGUGACUGUAUUGUGAACUGUGUUCACUGGUGGGGCCCAACUCCAGCGGCGUUGCUUCGUGUCUCGUUCAGUCAUUUGCGAGAGAGUCGCUCCUGGAUUUACGCUUUCUUGUGUCGAUUGGAAUUUCGACGACUGGACUUUUCUUUGGGUAAAAGCCGAGUCUGGUCCGGCCCGCGUCUGAGUUUCGCUUGUAAGACCCAAAAUAUUCGGCCUAGAAUCUAGACGUAUAUUCGCAUUUGGUUUUAUGGCCAAUGUGAUUGGAUUUGGAAUGAUCCAUGAUUCUCAAAUGCCCAAUCUUCCAAGCUUAAGCGAGCGAUGCGCCAUCAUGUCAAAUUUGUACAUUUUUAAUCGUUCUCUUUCACAAAUUGGACAAUUUUUUUCUCCCAUAAGAAUAAUGUGUUAAUAAAUUACUUGAAUUGAAUGAAUAUUUAUUAUCUAACUUUGUAAGACUUAUCAUAUCUAUCAAUUCAUCAAUUAGGAUAUUUACUGAGCAAAGUUACUUUGCACGGCUAAGCAAAAGAAAAUAAUUUGAAUAAAGAGCAUAAUUCUUCUAUCAAUUCUUGUAAUUACUUGUUUACAGAUUAAACGAAAAAUAAAGCACUAUAACCACAGAAAUAAAAGGAUUAGAAGAUUGCGACUUGUCAUUUUAAUGACCGUUUGACGUGACAGAGUAGCUGUGAACGCAAUUACAAUUUGGUAACAGGAGUCAGUUUGUGAAUUUAAUGAAAUAUAAAAAAAAAUAUUUUUAAAAUAAUAUUCUACCCUAACACACUCGAUUGAGAUUACAAUAGUCAAACUUUGAGGUGAUCAAUAAUAGGAAGGAGCAGCAGCAUACAUUUUUUGUUUCGACUUCUCUUUGGCAAAAGAUCUGCCGAUCCCGAUACAAAUUUUACACUCCCGUGUGUUAUUAGAAUACAUUCACAUUGCAUAUAAAUUAUCACGGUUGAAUGCAUGGCAUAUGAAUAAAAUAUAGAUUUUAAUUUUAAAUUUGGAUGAAUUAUCAUGUAUCCAAUGAUUAUGACGAUGUAUACAGUCUCAGUGUAUAAAUUAAUCCAAAAAAUUAAGCCAAAAGAGCCAAGGUUCCCUCCUCCCUACGAAAAAAAAAAAAAAAGGAUUGGUGUUUCCGCUCCAUUAACCACAUUUUGUUCAAUCGUUAUGAAUUCUUGACAAAAUACCUGUCGUUGCUAGGGGGUCAAUGGUCGGUUUGGGUCGAAAUUGAAAAUUUUGGAUUUGAAUCCCUUUUUAUGUAGUAAACCUAAUCCGACCUGUAUACUCGACGGGUCUUGACCUUAGAGUCUCGGAACCGGAUUCGAUGGAUUCCGGAUCGGAUCUGAGUCUACUCAAAAAGAAAAUGUCCAAACUUAAACAUUUCAAAUUUAAAUCCAAAACCAAUCACAAAAUCCAAUCUCCAAACUUAAAUAAAUCAAAUUAUAAAGCUAAAUCACAAAUAACUCGCAAUAGUCAAUUCAAAAUUAAUCACAAAUCAAUCUAUAAAAUCAUGACUAAAUUGUUAAUUUGAUAAAAAAAAAUGUAUUUAAAAAUAUUUAUAUUUUAUAAUUAUUAAUAUAUUGUUCGAAUUCGGAUCGAAUACGAAAAGAAAUUCUUUAUUUCAUAUUCGACCCGUUUUUCGUUAGAGUAAACGAGUUCGGAUAUCAAAAUUAUUUUUCAACCCAAACUCGAAAAAAUUUAUCGGAUCCGAAUUGGAUCAGAAUCUAAACUUGACCCAUUGACAGCCCUAGUCAUUGAGGACUUGUGAGAGAAAUAACAACAUAUCGUUACAGCACAAAAACUUUACCAUCAAACUUGCUCAAGCUUUCGCAAAUAGCCGCCAAGCUGGGUCAUAUGAGGAAUACAAAUUACAAAAAUAUUGUAAGCGACGUACGAAUCAUGAUAACAAUGCAAACUAUAUAAUAACAUAUUCAUUUUUAAAGAUUUUUGUAUCUGUAUCCAUUGCUGAUACUUAGGAAAUGAUGUGUUUUGUAAGUUCGUUCUACAAAUUAAUUAAUGACUCAAACCAUCAUCAGAAGUCCAGAGAAAAGCACCGUGACUUUUGUCAGUUUCCUUUCCCAACGUCUAGAUUUGGAUAAAUUUAGCACUGAGCACCAUAGUAAGCACCAUUCCUGAUUAUUAGCUCAGUUCAGAAAUUCCGAUCAAGUACGCUUUACUUCAAUCUUGCAUAAAUCAGCAAAUCCCAAUAUAGGGGCUUGAAUAGAACUUAAUUACGUAUAGGACCUAACUCAUGUUCACUCAAUACAAGCACAAUUCCAUGACUGGAAAAUCACAGUGGAGGAUUCCUUAAAGGAACUCCUGGAGUAAGAUGCAAUGACUACGCUAACAUGGCUGUAUAGCUAUACUCAAAUGUCUCAGCAUCAGAAUCCAACAAUUUCCAUGAACAUCCCUAACUAUUUCACCAUGAUAUCCAAAGCCAGAACCAAGAAAAGAAUACA
rnacentral:lncRNA from 1 species